rnacentral:lncRNA from 1 species
GAAUCGCGAUGUAAGAAGCUUGAUUUUGAUACAUAUAGUAAUGGAGAAUCACUAGGAAGUUGAAUAAAUUUCAUAGGAGUUAGGAUGAAGAAGCUAUCCCACUUUCAAAUCAGGUGAUCCCAUUUUUCCGGUUUGGGAAUAUGACAGCUUUAAAUGGAUACAUAAAGUAGUGGAGAACCAUUAGGAAGUUGAAUAAAUCUCAUAGGAGUUAGGAUGAAGAAGCUAUCCCACUCUCAAAUCAGGUGAUCCCGGUUUUCCUGUUUGGGAAUAUGACAGCUUCCUUGUUAUUCAUUUCAUAGGAGUUAGGAUGAAGAAGCUAUCCCACUUUCAAAAUCAGGUGAUCCCACGUUUGGUUUGGGAAAACUGGGAUCACCUGAUUUGAAAGUAGGAUAGCUUCUUCAUCCUAACUCCUAUGAGAUUUAUUCAACUUCCUAAUGGUUCUCCACUACUUUAUGUAUCCAAUUCAAGCUUCUUACAUCACGAUUCAUCCUGGUUUGAUUAGAAUGACAAAGAAGCUGUCAUAUUCCCAAACAGGAAAACUGGGAUCACCUGAUUUUGAAAGUGGGAUAGCUUCUUCAUCCUAACUCCUAUGAGAUUUAUUCAACUUUCUAGUGAUUCUCCAUUACUUUAUGUAUCAAAAUCAAGCUUCUUACAUCGCGAUUCAUCCUGGUUCGAUUAGAAUGACAAGGAAGCUGUUAUAUUCCCAAACAAGAAAACUAGGAUCACAUGAUUUGAAAGUGGGAUAGCUUCUUCAUCCUAACUCCUAUGAGAUUUAUUCAACUUCCUAGUGAUUCUCCAUUACUUUAUGUAUCAAAAUCAAGCUUCUUAGAUCGCGAUUCAUCCUGGUUUGAUUAGAAUAACAAGGAAGCUGUCAUAUUCCCAAACAGGAAAACCGGGAUCACCUGAUUUGAAAGUGGGAUAGCUUCUUCAUCCUAACUCCUAUGAGAUUUAUAUACACUUUUGUGUAUUAGAGCAUGAUUCAACUAAUCAGGGAUAAUCAGAUGAAAAGAUUAAAGAGAUUAAGAGAUUUUAGUGAGAGAAUAGAGAGAGAGACUCAAAACUCCAUUUGAUUGAUUAAUGAGAGAGUUUACAACACAUAUAGAUUAGGGAUACAUAAUUUCGUCCAGGUUCAGUCUAGCUAGGAUAAGAGGCAUGUGUAGUCAAAGAUGCUUGAUUCAAACUGGCCAAUAAGAUUCCUCACAUGCUUGGGUAUCUUGCUUUAGCUUUCCAGCUGGUGCCAGCCUGUCUAAAGCUCUCUAGCCUUGACCAGACCUUAUCCAAACUCCUCCUUGCUUAUCCAGACUCCUCCUGGCGUGUUUCACUCUCCAAAUGGAUGCAAGGUAACUUCCCAAGUCUUUUAACUCAGUUACCACAGUAACAAUAAAGUUACUGUGGUAAAUCUCCAAAGUUACUGCCUGCUCCAAAUCCCUUCCUCUAUCCAUGUAUCAACUCUUCAUCUCCUCAUCUCAAUACUCCCCCUCAAGCUUGACCAUGUGGAACAAGUCAAGCUUGGAAACCAUGAAGACCUCCCUCAUUAAAAACCUCACCAAAGAAAACCCAUUGGGAUAAAACUUUGAUGAGGGAAAAAGAGUGGAGACUCCAUGGUUAAGGGGCUCAGCUCCUGGGAGUAAGAUCAAUGAGUCCAAGCCUGGAUAGUAUGGACUCCAUUGUCUUCAAUCUCGCUGCCUUAGUAAACACAUCUGCAAGCUGAUCUUCACUUCUUGUAUAACAUGGCAGAAUCACUCCUAAGAUAAUCAUCUGCCUCACCUUAUGGCAAUCCACCUCUAUGUGCUUUGUUCUCUCAUGAAACACUGAGUUGGAGGCAAUGUGGAUAGCUGCUUGAUUGUCACAAUGCAUUGUCAUAGGUGUGGCCUGCUCGAUCUCCAAGUGCUUCAAAAUACCCUUGAUCCACACCAACUCAUUUGUAAGCUUCAACAUAGCUCUAUACUCAGCUUCAGCACUUGAACAGGAGAUGACCUUCUGUUUCUUACUCUUCCAAGUAACCAGAUUCCCUCCAAUGAAUGUACAAUACCCAGUAGUUGAUCUCCUGUCCACUCUAUCUCCUGCCCAAUCAGCAUCACAAUACCCAACCACUUCUGUACUGCCAUUGCAACCCAUCCAAACUCCUUGUCCAUGUUAUUAGAUUUGGUGAUUUAAAGAGUGAUUAAGUCUAAUCUGAGAAUUAAAGAGAUUGGAGAUUAAGAACAAGAGAGAGACUUAAGAGAGAGAGACUCAAAACUCCAUUAAUUAAUAAAGAUGAGGUUUACAACAUACUUAUAUGAGAGAGACAAUCAAAUUCGAAAUCAAUCAGAUAAGGUAGAGGUUCAGGGCAUGUGUAGUCAAAGAGAGCCAUCCAAAAGCAGCCAAUGGGAGUCUUCACAUGCUUGAUCCCUUUGGCAUCUUUUACUAGAUGCUGUCUACUUUACAGCCUGUCUCCAGCCUCUCUAGCUGUGAGGAAACCUUAUCCAGACUGUUCCUCCCUUAUCCAUACAGCUCUUGGUCGUGGCUUACUCUCCAAUGUGAGCCAAGGUAACUUUCCAAGCUUUACCUUAGUUACCACAGUAAAACCAAAGUUACUGUGGUAACUCCAAAGUUACUGUCUGUCUCAAAUCUCUUUCCUCUCUCAAUAUAUCAACUCUUUAUUCUCUCAUCUCAACACUCCCCCUCAAGCUUGACCAUGUGGAACAAGUCAAGCUUGGAAGGACCAUGAGAUCUCCCUCAUUAAAACCUCAUUAAAGAAAACCCAUUGGGACAAAACCUUAAUGAGGAAAAAGAGUAGAGAUCACAUGAUCAGGAGAGUGUAUAGACUAGCCCUUAGGCGAGAGAUCAAUGAGUCCUAACCUGAUGUGUAUGGACUCCAUUGUCUUUUGCCUUGCUGCCUUUGUGAACACAUCUGCUAACUGAUCCUCACUCCGAGUGUAACAAGGUAGAAUCACCCCAAGAAUCAUCAUCUGCCUCACCUUGUGACAAUCAACCUCAAUGUGCUUUGUUCUCUCAUGGAACACAGAAUUAGAUGCAAUGUGGAUAGCUGCUUGAUUAUCACAAUGCAUUGUCAUUGGCGUUGCUUGAAUAAUCUCCAGAUGCUUCAAAAUCCCUUUUAUCCACACUAGCUCAUUUGUAAGCUUCAGCAUUGCUCUAUACUCGGCCUCAGCACUGGAACAAGACACUACCUUCUGCUUCUUACUCUUCCAAGUGACCAAGUUACCACCAAUGAAUGUACAAUAGCCUGUGGUUGAUCUUCUGUCUGCUCGGUCCCCAGCCCAAUCUGCAUCACAGUAGCCUACAACCUCAGUACUCUUGUUACAUCCCAUCCAUACUCCAAGACCAGUAGUUCCAUUCAGAUACAUCAAGAUCCUUUCCACCAUCCGCCAGUGGUGCUCCUUAGGAACUUGCAUGUGUUGACUGACUUGAUUCACCGCAAAGCACACAUCAGGUCUAGUAAUGGUAAGAUAAAUCAACUUCCCCACUAGCUUCCUAUACAGCUUAGGAUCAUGGAAUGGCUUGCUAUCCUCAAUCUCCCCCUCACGUGGAACCUUGUAACCAUCCUCCAUUGGCAUCUUGGCUGUCUUUCCUCCAUAGGCAUCUGCUCCCUUCAAGAGAUCAAUCACAUACUUCCUUUGAGACAUAAACAAUCCUUCCUUUGAUCUGCAUAUCUCAAUCCCAAGAAAAUACUUCAUUUCCCCCAAGUCUUUAAUCUCAAAGCUUGCCUUGAGAUACUCCUUUGUAGCCUUGAUGCCUUCCUUAUCACUGCCUGUGAUGAUGAUGUCAUCCACAUACACAAGCAAUACCACAAUACCAGAUGAGGUGGUUAGGGUAAAGAGAGUGUGAUCCAAUUCUGACUUUCUGAACCCUCUCCCAUUCAGUGUAGUACUCAACUUGUUGUACCACGCCCUUGGAGACUGCUUGAGACCAUAGAUAGCUUUCCUCAACCUCAACACAUUACCCUUCUUUACUAGAUGUUCAAGACCUGGUGGUGGAUGCAUGUAUACUUCAUCUUCCAACUCUCCUUGAAGGAAUGCAUUCUUCACAUCCAUUUGCCACAAAUCCCACUCAAGAUUCACAGCUAAAGAUAAUACAAUCCUGAUAGUAUGAAGUUUAGCCACAGGAGCAAAGGUCUCAACAUAGUCCUCACCAUAUGUCUGAGUAAAUCCUCUUGCCACCAACCUAGACUUGCGCCUCUCUAUUCUUCCAUCAGGAUGAAACUUGAUUGUGAACACCCAUUUACUAGUCACUGCCUUCUUCCCUUUAUACACUUUUGUGUAUUAGAGCAUGAUUCAACUAAUCAGGGAUAAUCAGAUGAGAAGAUUAAAGAGAUUAAGAGAUUUUAGUGAGAGAAUAGAGAGAGAGGCUCAAAACUCCAUUAGAUUGAUUAAUGAGAGAGUAUACAACACAUAUAGAUUAGGGAUACAUAAUUUCGUCCAGGUUCAGUCUAGCUAGGAUAAGAGGCAUGUGUAGUCAAAGAUGCUUGAUUCAAACUAGCCAAUAAGGUUCCUCACAUGCUUGGGAAUCUUGCUUUAGCUUUCAAGCUGGUGCCAGCCUGUCUAAAGCUCUCUAGCCUUGACCAGACCUUAUCCAAACUCCUCCUUGCUUAUCCAGACUCAUCCUGGCGUGUUUCACUCUCCAAAUGGAUGCAAGGUAACUUCCCAAGUCUUUUAACUCAGUUACCACAGUAACAAUAAAGUUACUGUGGUAAAUCUCCAAAGUUACUGCCUGCUCCAAAUCCCUUCCUCUAUCCAUGUAUCAACUCUUCAUCUCCUCAUCUCCUCAUCUUAACACCCUUUAGGCAGCUCACUCUCAUACCAUGUUUCAUUCUUAAUCAUGGCUCCGGACUCAUCAGCAACUGAAUCUCUCCACUCCUUUAAAGCCAUAGCUUCUUCAUAUGUCCUUGGAAUAUAGCUCUCAUCCAAGCUUACUGUGAAGGCUGUAUGCUCGUCCGGAAACUCUGCAAAGGAACACAUAGCUUGAGAAGGAUGCUCCACAGCCUGGGCAUUGUAGUACACUCUCGUGUUUACCCAGUUGGAAGCAUCUCUCUUCACCCUUGUGCUCCUCCUUAGCUCCUGAACUUGUUCUUCUUGUGGCUCUUGCCCAUCUUCACUUGAUUGAGCACCACUCUCAUUUGACCCAUCUCCUUCACUAGACUGAGUACCACUCUCAUCUGAGCCAGUAGACUCUCUUUGCCCAUCUCCACUAGACUGAGCACCACUCUCUACUUCUUGUGUCACCUCUUGAUUAUGCUGGCCUGAAUCUUGAUUUUGCACUUGCUCAUGAGAUUCAGUUCCAUUCCCCCUCUCAUGAUCAAGAGGAGUUGUUCUUUCAGCUUCACUAGUCGGAUUGGAAGACUCUCUUCUUCCAGAUUCCUGAUCCUGGGAUAACCCUAUCCCUAGCUUCUCCAACAGCACCCUCAGUGUUGUUGCUCUAUCAGAUGGAGCUUGAGACAAAUCCUUCAGAUUUUCCCACUCCUUUUCUUCAUAAUACCCUUUUGAUUCAAUAAACUUCACUUCUCUAGAUACCAUCACUCUCCUUGCUUCAGGAUCAUAGCACUUGUAUCCCUUCUGAGUGAUAGAGUAUCCAAUGAACAUAGCUCAUAGCACUUGUAUCCCUUCUGAGUGAUAGAGUAUCCAAUGAACAUAGCCUUAGUGCUCUUUGCCUCCAGCUUGUUUCUCUGUUCUCCUGGACUCAUGACAUAGCAUACACACCCAAAUACCCGUAGGUGAUCAAUAAAAGGCUUGCUCUUAUUCAGCACCUCAAAUGGAGACAGAUUCUUCAGUAUCUUGGUUGGGACCCGGUUGAUGAGAUAGCAAGCAGUCUGUACAGCAUCUCCCCAAAAACGUUUUGGGACAUUUGCAUGAAACAUCAUCGACCUAGCAACCUCCAUCAAGUGCCUAUUCUUCCUCUCAGCUACACCAUUCUGUUGUGGUGUGUAGGGACAACUGGUCUGAUGCACAAUCCCAUGCUUGGCUAGAUGACUCUUGAAGGCAUUGCUGAUGUAUUCACCUCCGUUGUCUGAUCUCAGUACCUUCACAGUAGCAUUGUAUUGAUUAGAUACAUAUGCUUGGAAGUUCAUAAACGCUUCUAGCACCUUAUCUUUAGAUGGAAGCAAUGUGAGCCAUGUAUACUUAGACUUCUCAUCAAUGAAUGUCACAAAGUAUUUAUGGCUGUCUCUAGACAUGCAUGGAGCGGUCCACACAUCCGAGUGAACUAGAUCAAAGCAAUGCUCAUAAGUAGUCUUAGAUGUUGGGAAAACAGUCCUACAAUGCUUUCCUAAUAUGCAUGCUUCACAAUCCAAGUGAUUGAAUGACAUAUUAGGGAUUAUCAAUUCAAUGGCACGAGCAUGAGGAUGUCCUAAUCUAGCAUGCCAAGUAAUACUAUCAAUCUUCUCAGCAGUACUACUCAAGCAAAUAGAAUCAAAGGGAUUAGAGGUCUUAGCCAAGUCGAGGUGGUAUAGCUGAUUUUUGCUGUCUCCUCUGCCAAUGACUCUCCCAGUCUUCAAAUCUUGAAACUCAACUUCAUCAGGUCUGAAUACUACUUGACAAUCAAGAUCAAUGGUAGCUUUCUUCACAGAUAAUAGAUUUGAAGUGAACUGAGGCAUGUAGAAGGCAGCCGUGUCCUUCUCAAACAGUUUGAGCUUUCCCACUCCUUCUAUUGGGAUCAUAGCACCAUUAGCUAUCCUAACACUCCCUGUUGCAGCCUUGAUCUCACUUAUAAGCCUCCUAUCACUGAUCCUAUGAUGACUUGCUCCAGAAUCAAUCACCAUGGGUUUAGAAGCUCCGGAUUGUAUAGCAUGCUUCUUGCUUGCUGCUAAGGCUUGUACAUGUUCCAUGAAAACUCUCCAUUCCUUCCUGGUGAUGCGAUCAUCAGCUCCACUCCCUUUCUCCUGCUCUCUUAACACCCCACUGUCUUCUACUGAUUCCCCCAUGUAGGCUGAGUAAGAACACUCUCCCACAACUCUCUUUCUACCCUUUCCUAUGUUGAUAGAAGCUUUGGAUAGCAUUCUGCACCUUCUCUUCUUCCGGAAGCCCUCACUCCUACUCCCGGUUAGCCUCCAUGAGCCCUCACUCCUACUCAUGGUUAGCUUCUGGAAGCUCUCACUCCUACUCCCAGUUGGCUUCCAUGAGCUCUCACUCCUACUCAUGGUUAGCCUCUCAUCAUCUCUCAUUAUCUCAUACGCCCUUCUUAUAAGCACACAGAUCUCUUCCAUUUCCGGAAGCUGUUCCCCUCUUAGAACCAUCUCUACCAGCCACCACAAAUCUCUUCCAUUUCCGGAAGCUGUUCCCCUCUUAGAACCAUCUCUACCAGCCACCCAUAUGAUGACUCCAUGCUCGCCAAGAGCUUCAAGACCGUCUCUUGCUCUUGUGUAGUAUCCCCAUCCACAUGGGAUCUCAACCCUUGUAGUUCAACCCACAAAUGUUGUAGCUUCCUCACAUGGUUAUUGAACUCUUCUCUUCCUGGUUUACCUCCACUAAUCACCUUCUUGACUUCAUACACUCUCCUAAGACUGAUCUUGUUCUCAUAAACAUCUUCAAUCUUCUCAAGCAGUGUACUUUCUUCAAGACUAAAGCAAUUUCCACUUGUUUCUCUUGCUGUCUGAUCUUUCUCAGCAGCUUUACCCUUCAAAGACUCUUCCUUCUCAUGGUUUCUCCAAACUCCACACCUCUUCAGAGUCGUUUUCAUUUGUGAGAACCACCCCCACUCAUUCCCUCUCUCUUCCUUCUCUUCACGCCUUGCUGAACCACAAGCUAGACCCAUCUUCUGACCUUGUCAAACACCUAAAGGGACUCCCUUGAAGCUGACUCUCCAAAAGAAACACCAACAGACACAAACUUGACUUUUAAAGGAUCUAGCUCUUGAAAAAUCUCAAGAACUCUCAAGAACACUCAAGAACACUCAAGAACAUUUAGAAAAACGAAAUCACUCUCUCCUUUUAAAGUAACCUGGCUCUGAUACCAUAUUAGAUUUGGUGAUUUAAAGAGUGAUUAAGUCUAAUCUGAGAAUUAAAGAGAUUGGAGAUUAAGAACAAGAGAGAGACUUAAGAAUGAGAGACUCAAAAAACCAUUAAUUAAUUAUGAGAGAGUUUACAUCAGAUAUAUACAAAAGGAAGAAGCAUUUUCGAAAUCAAUCUAAGGGGAUAAGAUAAGCAUGUGUAGUCAAAGGCCAGGCUGUUAAUCCCAUGGCUGAGAUUGCUCACAUGCUUCUACUAGUGCUAAAGCACUCUUCUCCUUUCCAGCCAGUGACAGCCUGUCCAAUUCUCCUCUCUUAUCCCUUCCCAUACUCAGAUCAAGUGUAGACAACCUAGGGUAACUUCUCCUUGCCAUCCGAGUUACCCUGGUUACUAUGGUAACUUCUUUAGUUACCACAGUAACAAUAAAGUUACUGUGGUAACUCUCCAAAGUUACUGUCUGCUCCAACUCUCUUCCUCUCUCAAUAUAUCAACUCUUUAUUCUCUCAUCUCAACAGUAAGAAGCUUGAUUUUGAAACAUAAAGUAGUGGAGAAUCACCAGGAAGUCGAAUAAAUCUCACUCUCAUCUCAACACUCCCCCUCAAGCUUGACCAUGUGGAACAAGUCAAGCUUGGAAGGACCAUGAGAUCUCCCUCAUUAAAACCUCAUUAAAGAAAACCCAUUGGGACAAAACCUUAAUGAGGAAAAAGAGUAGAGAUCACAUGAUCAGGAGAGUGUAUAGACUAGCCCUUAGGCGAGAGAUCAAUGAGUCCUAACCUGAUGUGUAUGGACUCCAUUGUCUUUUGCCUUGCUGCCUUUGUGAACACAUCUGCUAACUGAUCCUCACUCCGAGUGUAACAAGGUAGAAUCACCCCAAGAAUCAUCAUCUGCCUCACCUUGUGACAAUCAACCUCAAUGUGCUUUGUUCUCUCAUGGAACACAGAAUUAGAUGCAAUGUGGAUAGCUGCUUGAUUAUCACAAUGCAUUGUCAUUGGCGUUGCUUGAAUAAUCUCCAGAUGCUUCAAAAUCCCUUUUAUCCACACUAGCUCAUUUGUAAGCUUCAGCAUUGCUCUAUACUCGGCCUCAGCACUGGAACAAGACACUACCUUCUGCUUCUUACUCUUCCAAGUGACCAGGUUACCACCAAUGAAUGUACAAUAGCCUGUGGUUGAUCUUCUGUCUGCUCGGUCCCCAGCCCAAUCUGCAUCACAGUAGCCUACAACCUCAGUACUCUUGUUACAUCCCAUCCAUACUCCAAGACCAGUAGUUCCAUUCAGAUACAUCAAGAUCCUUUCCACCAUCCGCCAGUGGUGCUCCUUAGGAACUUGCAUGUGUUGACUGACUUGAUUCACCGCAAAGCACACAUCAGGUCUAGUAAUGGUAAGAUAAAUCAACUUCCCCACUAGCUUCCUAUACAGCUUAGGAUCAUGGAAUGGCUUGCUAUCCUCAAUCUCCCCCUCACGUGGAACCUUGUAACCAUCCUCCAUUGGCAUCUUGGCUGUCUUUCCUCCAUAGGCAUCUGCUCCCUUCAAGAGAUCAAUCACAUACUUCCUUUGAGACAUAAACAAUCCUUCCUUUGAUCUGCAUAUCUCAAUCCCAAGAAAAUACUUCAUUUCCCCCAAGUCUUUAAUCUCAAAGCUUGCCUUGAGAUACUCCUUUGUAGCCUUGAUGCCUUCCUUAUCACUGCCUGUGAUGAUGAUAUCAUCCACAUACACAAGCAAUACCACAAUACCAGAUGAGGUGGUUAGGGUAAAGAGAGUGUGAUCCAAUUCUGACUUUCUGAACCCUCUCCCAUUCAGUGUAGUACUCAACUUGUUGUACCACGCCCUUGGAGACUGCUUGAGACCAUAGAUAGCUUUCCUCAACCUCAACACAUUACCCUUCUUUACUAGAUGUUCAAGACCUGGUGGUGGAUGCAUGUAUACUUCAUCUUCCAACUCUCCUUGAAGGAAUGCAUUCUUCACAUCCAUUUGCCACAAAUCCCACUCAAGAUUCACAGCUAAAGAUAAUACAAUCCUGAUAGUAUGAAGUUUAGCCACAGGAGCAAAGGUCUCAACAUAGUCCUCACCAUAUGUCUGAGUAAAUCCUCUUGCCACCAACCUAGACUUGCGCCUCUCUAUUCUUCCAUCAGGAUGAAACUUGAUUGUGAACACCCAUUUACUAGUCACUGCCUUCUUCCCUUUAGGCAGCUCACUCUCAUACCAUGUUUCAUUCUUAAUCAUGGCUCCGGACUCAUCAGCCACUGAAUCUCUCCACUCCUUUAAAGCCACAGCUUCUUCAUAUGUCCUUGGAAUAUAGCUCUCAUCCAAGCUUACUGUGAAGGCUAUAUGCUCGUCCGGAAACUCUGCAAAGGAACACAUAGCUUGAGAAGGAUGCUCCACAGCCUGGGCAUUGUAGUACACUCUCGUGUUUACCCAGUUGGAAGCAUCUCUCUUCAGCCGUGUGCUUCUCCUCAAUGGUACCUCAACUGGUGCUUGCUCUGGUGCUUCUACUUCAGUUGCUUCGACUCCUCCUUGUUCUGGCAACUCAUUAAGCUCUUCAUUACUUGGUUCAGCUCCACCUUGAUCAGGAUGAUCCGGAUGAUCCGCAACAUCUUGAUUCUCAUCCGGCUCAAUUCCAUUCCCUCCCUCAUCCCAAUCUCCACUAGACUGAGUACCACUCUCAUCUGAGCCAGUAGACUCUCUUUGCCCAUCUCCACUAGACUGAGCACCACUCUCUACUUCCUGUGUCACCUCUUGAUUAUGCUGGCCUGAAUCUUCUUGAUUGUGCACUUGCUCAUGAGAUACAGUUCCACUCCCCCUCUCAUGAUCAAGAGGAGUUGUUCUUUCAGCUUCACUAGUAGGAUUGGAAGACUCUCUUCUUCCAGAUUCCUGAUCCUGGGAUAACCCUAUCCCUAGCUUCUCCAACAGCACCCUCAGUGUUGUUGCUCUAUCAGAUGGAGCUUGAGACAAAUCCUUCAGAUUUUCCCACUCCUUUUCUUCAUAAUACCCUUUGGAUUCAAUAAACUUCACUUCUCUAGAUACCAUCACUCUCCUUGCUUCAGGAUCAUAGCACUUGUAUCCCUUCUGAGUGAUAGAGUAUCCAAUAAACAUUGCCUUAGUACUCUUUGCCUCCAGCUUGUUUCUCUGUUCUCCUGGAGUCAUGACAUAGCAUACACACCCAAAUACUCGUAGGUGAACAAUAAAAGGCUUGCUCUUAUUCAGCACCUCAAAUGGAGACAGAUUCUUCAGUAUCUUGGUUGGGACCCGGUUGAUGAGGUAGCAAGCAGUCUGAACAGCAUCUCCCCAAAAUCUUUUUGGGACAUUUGCAUGAAACAUCAUCGACCUAGCAACCUCCAUCAAGUGCCUAUUCUUCCUCUCAGCUACACCAUUCUGCUGUGGUGUGUAGGGACAACUGGUCUGAUGCACAAUCCCAUGCUUGGCUAGAUGACUCUUGAAGGCAUUGCUGAUGUAUUCACCUCCGUUGUCUGAUCUCAGUACCUUCACAGUAGCAUUGUAUUGAUUAGAUACAUAUGCUUGGAAGUUCAUAAACGCUUCUAGCACCUUAUCUUUAGAUGGAAGCAAUGUAAGCCCAGUACCUUCACAGUAGCAUUGUAUUGAUUAGAUACAUAUGCUUGGAAGUUCAUAAACGCUUCUAGCACCUUAUCUUUAGAUGGAAGCAAUGUGAGCCAUGUAUACUUAGACUUCUCAUCAAUGAAUGUCACAAAGUAUUUAUGGCUGUCUCUAGACAUGCAUGGAGCGGUCCACACAUCCGAGUGAACUAGAUCAAAGCAAUGCUCAUAAGUAGUCUUAGAUGUUGGGAAAACAGUCCUACAAUGCUUUCCUAAUAUGCAUGCUUCACAAUCCAAGUGAUUGAAUGACAUAUUAGGGAUUAUCAAUUCAAUGGCACGAGCAUGAGGAUGUCCUAAUCUAGCAUGCCAAGUAAUACUAUCAAUCUUCUCAGCAGUACUACUCAAGCAAAUAGAAUCAAAGGGAUUAGAGGUCUUAGCCAAGUCGAGGUGGUAUAGCUGAUUUUUGCUGUCUCCUCUGCCAAUGACUCUCCCAGUCUUCAAAUCUUGAAACUCAACUUCAUCAGGUCUGAAUACUACUUGACAAUCAAGAUCAAUGGUAGCUUUCUUCACAGAUAAUAGAUUUGAAGUGAACUGAGGCAUGUAGAAGGCAGCCGUGUCCUUCUCAAACAGUUUGAGCUUUCCCACUCCUUCUAUUGGGAUCAUAGCACCAUUAGCUAUCCUAACACUCCCUGUUGCAGCCUUGAUCUCACUUAUAAGCCUCCUAUCACUGAUCAUAUGAUGACUUGCUCCAGAAUCAAUCACCAUGGGUUUAGAAGCUCUGGAUUGUAUAGCAUGCUUCUUGCUUGCUGUUAAGGCUUGUACAUGUUCCAUGAACACUCUCCACUCCUUCCUGGUGAUGCGAUCAUCAGCUCCACUCCCUUUCUCCUGCUCUCUUAACACCCCACUGUCUUCUACUGAUUCCCCCAUGUAGGCUGAGUAAGAACACUCUCCCACAACUCUCUUUCUACCCUUUCCUAUGUUGAUAGAAGCUUUGGAUAGCAUUCUGCACCUUCUCUUCUUCCGGAAGCCCUCACUCCUACUCCCGGUUAGCCUCCAUGAGCCCUCACUCCUACUCAUGGUUAGCUUCUGGAAGCUCUCACUCCUACUCCCAGUUGGCUUCCAUGAGCUCUCACUCCUACUCAUGGUUAGCCUCUCAUCAUCUCUCAUUAUCUCAUACGCCCUUCUUAUAAGCCCACAAAUCUCUUCCAUUUCCGGAAGCUGUUCCCCUCUUAGAACCAUCUCUACCAGCCACCCAUAUGAUGACUCCAUGCUCGCCAAGAGCUUCAAGACCGUCUCUUGCUCUUGUGUAGUAUCCCCAUCCUCAUGGGAUCUCAACCCUUGUAGUUCAACCCACAACUGUUGUAGCUUCCUCACAUGGUUAUUGAACUCUUCUCUUCCUGGUUUACCUCCACUAAUCACCUUCUUGACUUCAUACACUCUCCUAAGACUGAUCUUGUUCUCAUAAACAUCUUCAAUCUUCUCAAGCAGUGUACUUUCUUCAAGACUAAAGCAAUUUCCACUUGUUUCUCUUGCUGUCUGAUCUUUCUCAGCAGCUUUACCCUUCAAAGACUCUUCCUUCUCAUGGUUUCUCCAAACUCCACACCUCUUCAGAGUCGCUUUCAUUUGUGAGAACCACCCCCACUCAUUCCCUCUCUCUUCCUUCUCUUCUCGCCUUGCUGAACCACAAGCUAGACCCAUCUUCUGACCUUGUCAAACACCUAAAGGGACUCCCUUGAAGCUGACUCUCCAAAAGAAACACCAACAGACACAAACUUGACUUUUAAAGGAUCUAGCUCUUGAAAAAUCUCAAGAACUCUCAAGAACACUCAAGAACACUCAAGAACAUUUGGAAAAACGAAAUCACUCUCUCCUUUUGAAGUAACCUGGCUCUGAUACCAUCUUAGAUUUGGUGAUUUAAAGAGUGAUUAAGUCUAAUCUGAGAAUUAAAGAGAUUGGAGAUUAAGAACAAGAGAGAUUUAAGAGAGAGAGAGACUCAAAACUCCAUUAAUUAAUACUAAUGAGGGUUUACAAGUAUAUAAAGAGAGAGCAACAAGUAAUUUCGAAAUGUAUAAGCAUGUGUAGUCAAAGGACAGGCUGGAACUCCUUUUGAAUCACUUGGCUGUGCUUUCUCACAUGCUUGCACUAGUAGAAAAGCAUCCUCUCCUUUCCAGCAUCAUACAGGCUGUCAAACUGCUCCCUUAUCCUUCCUUAUCCUCUUUGGUCGAGUUUACUCUCUUCUCUUCACUAAGUUACCUUCUCAUCCCAUCAGAUAACUUCCCAAGUAGUUACUGUGGUAAAACUAAAGUUACCACAGUAAAACUCCAAAGUUACUGUCUGCUCCAACUCUCUUCCCCUCUCAAUAUAUCAACUCUUUAUUCUCUCAUCUCAACAGAAAGUUCUUAAAUGCAGCAAGUACCCUAUCUUUGGUUUGAAUUAAGGUUAACCAGGUGUAUUUGGAUUUUUCAUCAAUGAAUGUGACAAAAUACUUAAGGUUAUCCCUAGACAUACAAGGAGCAGUCCACACAUCCGAAUGAAUCAAAUCAAAGCAAUUCUCAUAGACUGUUGUAGAUUUGGGAAACACAUUCUUACAAUGCUUGCUUAGAAUACAAGUCUCACAAUCUUUAUUCUCAUAAAUAACACCUGGUACCAUUAAGUUCAAAGGUUUAACAUGAGGGUGACCUAGUCUAGCAUGCCAUAAUGCAUUCUUAUUUAAACUAGAGACAGAAUCAGAAGCAAAUGUAAAUGAACAACAAUGAUUAGGAACAGAAGCAAGAUCUUCAAGUAAGUAAAGGUCUCCUUUAGUAACUCCUUUCCCAAUCACCUUGCUGCUUUUAAUAUCCUGAAACUUUACAUCAUUAGGACUGAAUAUAACAUUGCAUUGCAAGUCAGUAGCACAUCUCUUAACCGACAAUAGAUUAGAUGUAAACUCAGGCAUGUAGAAGGCUUUAGAUUCUUUUUCAAACAACUUAAGUUUUCCUAUCCCUUUUAUGGGAAUUUUAUCACCAUUAGCAAUCAUUACAUUUCCAUUGGCAGGUUCAAUAUCCUUAAUCAAUCUAGUGUCACUUAUCAUAUGAUGAGAUGCACCAGAGUCAACUAUCAAUGCUUUAGACUUAUUACUAGCAGUGUGAGCUUGAUAAAGAGUCCUAACCGGUUUAUAAUCAUUCCUUAAGUUGAUGAAUGCAUUUUCAAUCCUAGCACUUCUAGAAUCACUUUCAAUGAAUGCAUUUUCAAUCCUAGCACUUCUAGAAUCACUUUCAAUACUAUCAGUUAUGUUCUCAAUCAGGGAUGCACCAAAUGAAUAACCAUAGUUGAUACUACUUUUGUUACCGUUUUCUUUGAGCAUCUUGAUGAGGGCGUCCAUGUCUGAUCUCCGGAUGUAGUCAUUGUUGCUUGGCCCUCCUGUGUAAGCCACAAGUGACUUCCCAUCACCCACCUCACGUACCUCUCCUUCAUUUGCCCUGCUUGAUGACCCAGCACCCGAGGAGCUCUCGGUCAUGUGUGCCCUUGCCUCCUUGUCUUUCAAGAACUUAGCCGGCUUCAGGUGAGGAUGAAGGAUCCAGCACUGACUCUUCUUGUGCCCAUGCUUCUUGCAGUGGUCACAGUUCCCAUUGAACCUCUUGUCCUCAUACUUGCCAUGAACUGCCUUGUUUGCUUGAGGAGCUUCAUUCUGAUCCGCUUGAGCAGCCUGGUUUGCCAAUGAGAGCCCUCCUUUGCCUCCAAACAAUCCAAUGGAGCCUUGCUCUUUCUGAAUCUGUGAGCAUACAUCCUCAAGAUCAGGAAGCUUAUCAGACCUUAACAUAUGCUGGAUGAGACCGGAGUAGGCAGGACUCAGCGUGAGUAGUAACCCAAACACCUUGUCUUGCUCGCGCCUCUCAUUCAACUGGUCUGGAUCGGUUGUGCUUGGCCUCAACAUCUCUAGCUCGGACCACAAAGACCUGAACCUCCCCAAAUGCUUGGUGAACUCCAUGUCUUCUUGAGCUAGGUUGUUGAUGGCUUGCUUCACUUCAAAGACCCGGCUCAGGUUUGAAGUGUUCCCAUACACUUUCUUCAAAGUGUCCCACAGCUCCUUGGCUGUCUCACAGUAGCUGUAUGCCUCCAGUAUCGCCGGCUCCAACGACCCAUGAAGAACAGACAUCACCACCAUGUCCUCUUGCUGCCACUUCUCUACAGCUUCACUUGAGACCUCUUCUUGGCCCUCUCCUUGAGUAAUGAGCUUCGGAGCUUCACCAGGUGUAACAUGACUCCACAAGCCCUUACUUCCAACGGUUGUCUUCACUAGGCGAGACCAAACCAGGUAGUUGUUCCCCUUAAAGGUAAUCGCCACCUUCAUCUUCAUGUUCUCCAUCUUAACAACACUUGACUUCAAAAGCUUGAGUUAGAUGAGACCUUGAACCAACGAAUCUUGUAAGAACUGAUCUGAACUUGUCUAGAACCCACACACACGCAAGGAUGAACACCUUUGAGCUUUGAUCUUCCACGGAUGGUUGCAAAGCUUCAAACUUGUUUCUCAACGUUUCAAAACAAGAACUCAGAUUCUUUCGAACCUGGCUCUGAUACCAUAUGAGAUUUAGAGAAUCUGAGUUGUAUAUGAGAGAGUAGUAUGAUUUAGGUUGAGUAGAAAAAGGAUUAGUGACUAAUGGAUAAUCAUGAUCGAAAUGUGUAGAGAGAUUAAUAGGAUAGAACUGUCUGAUUUAUUAUUAUGGAGAGAUUACAUAUUUAUAUGGAUCAGCAUACAAGGGUUUUGUAAUAGUGAAAGCAGAUCCUAGAGACUAAGCAUGUGGAGUCAAACCAAGGAGAGGCGCGCUUCAUUUGAAUGAACGGAGGUGAGGCUUUACACGCUUGAUGCCAAAGGUAUCUUUGCCUAGAUGCUCCUUUUGCCUUUACAGCUAGCAACAGCUCAAGCCGUGUCCCAACCUUAUCCUCCAACGGUCAUAUCCUAAAUCCUCUUCCUCUUGUAGAGUCAUCGGCCACUUUAGGAUAGAUGUGAGCUUUGCCUUUCCUCCCAAGGUACCUCAGUUGUACGGCCUUUGCCCUAUCCGUACACUUCUCCUUAACUUCACACAACUACUCCAUUUCUUCCUUUGAUCUCUCUUCUCAUGUAAACCCUUGAUCCUUUCACUUAAUCAUCUCCACAACUUAACACUCCCCCUCAAGCUUAGCUUUGUGAAAGACUAAGCUUGGAUAGCCAUGAGAUCUUCCUCAUUAAAAACCUCACCAAGGAAAACCCAUUGGGACAAAACCUUGAUGAGGGAAAAAGAGUAAAGACCUCACAGCCAAGGGGAUCAGCUCCUUCUUUUCCCAAGAUCAAUGAGGCCCAACCUGAUGUGAAUGGACUCCAUUGUCUUCUGUCUCGCAGCCUUAGUAAACACAUCAGCCAACUGAUCUUCACUUCUUGUGUAGCAUGGCAGGAUGACUCCUAAGAUGAUCAUCUGCCUCACCUUGUGACAAUCAACUUCAAUGUGCUUGGUUCUUUCAUGGAACACCGAGUUGGAUGCAAUGUGGAUGGCAGCUUGGUUAUCACAAUGCAUUGUCAUUGGCGUGGCUUGAUCAAUCUCCAAAUGCUUCAAGAUACCCUUGAUCCACACCAGCUCGUUGGUCAGCUUCAGCAUAGCUCUAUACUCAGCUUCUGCACUUGAGCAAGACACCACCUUCUGCUUCUUACUCUUCCAAGUAACCAGGUUGCCUCCAAUGAAUGUGCAAUAGCCUGUGGUUGAUCUCCUGUCUGCUCUAUCACCGGCCCAAUCCGCAUCACAGUAUCCAACCACUUCAGUGCUUCCAUUGCAACCCAUCCAUACUCCUUGAUCAGGUGAGCCGUUGAGAUACAUCAAGAUCCUCUCCACCAUGCGCCAAUGAUGCUCCUUAGGCACUUGCAUGUGUUGGCUCACCUGGUUCACAGCAAAACAAAUGUCAGGUCUAGUUAUGGUAAGAUAAAUCAAUUUGCCAACUAGCUUUCUAUAGAGUUUAGGAUCCUGGUAAGGUUUGCUGUCUUCAAUCUCCCCCUCUCGUGGGACUUUGUAACCAUCCUCCAUAGGCAUCCUUGCUGUCUUGCCUCCAUAAGCACCUGCACCUUUCAAAAGAUCAAGUGUAUACUUCCUUUGGGACAUGAACAAACCUUCCUUGGAUCUACAUAUCUCAAUUCCAAGAAAGUAUUUCAUUUCUCCCAAGUCUUUAAUCUCAAACAUGGAUUUAAGAAACUCCUUGGUUGCUAUGAUACCUUCCUUAUCACUUCCUGUGAUAAUGAUAUCAUCAACAUACACAAGGAGUGCAAUCAUACCUGAGGGAGUUGUGAGAGUGAAGAGAGUGUGAUCUAGUUCAGACUUCUUGAAGCCUCGGCCAUUAAGGGUAGUGCUCAGCUUGUUAUACCAUGCUCUUGGUGAUUGCUUCAACCCAUAAAUAGCUUUCUUUAGUCUCAACACAUUCCCUUUCUUCACCAAGUGUUCCAAGCCUGGAGGUGGAUGCAUAUACACUUCAUCCUCAAGCUCUCCUUGUAGAAAUGCAUUCUUCACAUCCAUUUGCCAUAAGCCCCAUCCAAGAUUCACAGCCAAGCUCAAUACAAUUCGAAUUGUGUGUAGCUUAGCUACUGGUGCAAAGGUCUCAAUGUAAUCUUCUCCAUAGGUUUGAGUGAAACCCCUUGCAACCAGUCUUGACUUCUUCCUCUCAACCUGGCCAUCAGCCUUAUACUUGAUUGUGAAGAUCCAUCUACUAGUCACAGCCUUCUUCCCUUUAGGCAGCUCACUUUCGUACCAUGUAUCAUUCUUGAUCAUAGCUCCUGCCUCAGCUCCAACUGAUUCCUUCCACUCCUUGUCUUGUAUUGCCUCUUCAUAGCUUCUUGGGAUAUAACCCUCAUCCAGAUUUACCAUGAAUGCGCAAUGUGCUUUAGGGUACUGAGCAAAGGAACACACAGCUUGAGAAGGAUGCUCCACAGCUUGGGCAUUGUAGUACACUCUCGUGUUUACCCAAGAGGAAGGAUCCUUCCUCAGCCUUGUACUUCUUCUUAGUUGUGGCUGUGGUUGAGGAGUCGGCUCUCUUACUUCUUCUUGAGUUUCAUCACCUGAUGACUCUUCCAUUGGUACUGAUUCGGUUUCCACACCAUCUUGUGUUGUUUCUACACCACCUUGAUCAUGUGACGCCAAAUCAUCUCCUCUUCUAUCACUUGAGCUUUCUUGAGCUCCUGUUUCUUCUCCCCCCUCAUGAUGAAGGUGGGGUUGUUCUGUAGUUGCCACAGGUGGUGGAGAUGUUCCCGGACAGCUCCCUCCACUAGUUUGGUCUUGAGACACCUUAAUGCCAAGGUUCUCCAAGAUAAUCCGCAGCACACCAGCCUUGUCUGAUGUAAUAUCCUUCAAGUCUUCCUGAUUCUUCUCAUCAUAGUAUCCCCGUGAUUCAAUGAACUUCACAUCUCUAGAAGUCAAGACCCUCCGUGUAACUGGAUCAUAACACCUAUACCCCUUUUGAGUUGUUUAUUGAGAUGAGGAAGCCAUUAUGAUAAGAGAGGAGGAGUUAGGAGAGUUAUGGGAGAGGGAACGGACGGCGUGUGUACGGACGGUACGGCCAGUGUACGGCCAGUACGGAUCACCUCGACCAUGAUGACUUGAAUCACCUUUAAAGUCUAUUUAAAGGUUGUGCAAAGUUAGGGCAUGGCAUGUACGGAUAGGGCAUGACCGUACAGAUAAGAGAACGUAAAGGAGAAGGAGGAUGGAAGGCAAAACCACCAUCAGACGCGGAAGGUUUGGAACGGAUCAGACCGUUUAUGGAUAAGGUUGGAGCGCGCCUUAUCUAUCCAGCUCUUGGACAGGCUGUAAAGCCAAACGCGUGUGUUACUUUCUGACCUUGACUACACAUGCUUAGACUAGUGCCAUUUCCCUUACUUGAAAGCCCUAAUGUCUCUCCUAUAUAUAUUGUAACCUCAUCCAUAAUAAAGAUUAGACAGUUCUGAUUAUUCUUAGCCUCCAUGGCGUUUCUCUUAGUCUCUUGAUCUAAUCUCUUACUCUCUACACUCGUUUAGUCUCUAAUCUCUCUCAAAUCUAUUCUAAACACUCAGAUUACUCUUCAUUACUCUAAAGUCAUAUUGUUGAAUAUCCAAUAAACAUGGCUUUGGUGCUUCUAGCUUCAAGCUUGUUGCGCAGCUCUCCCGGAAUCAGCACAUAACACAAGCAGCCGAAGACUCUCAGGUAGUCAAGAACCGGCUUGUGCUUGUUUAGAACUUCAAAUGGAGCAUGAUCCUCCAACACCUUAGUUGGAGUUCUGUUGAUCAAGUAGCAUGCAGUAGAUACGGCAUCACUCCAAAACCUUUUGGGAACAUUUGCUUGAAGCAUGAGAGCCCUUGCCACUUCCAUGAGAUGUCUGUUCUUCCUCUCAGCCACACCAUUUUGCUGAGGAGUAUAGGGGCAACUAGUCUGAUGGAGCACUCCAUGCUGAGCUAGAUGUUGUUUGAACGCCAAGCUUGUGUACUCUCCUCCAUUAUCUGAUCUAAAAAUUUUAAUCUUGGCAUGAUAUUGGUUAGUCACAUAAGCUUGAAAGUUCUUAAAUGCAUCAAGUACCCUAUCUUUGGUUUGAAUUAAGGUUAACCAGGUGUAUUUGGAUUUUUCAUCAAUGAAUGUGACAAAAUACUUAAAGUUAUCCCUAGACAUACAAGGAGCAGUCCACACAUCCGAAUGAAUCAAAUCAAAGCAAUUCUCAUAGACUGUUGUAGAUUUGGGAAACACAUUCUUACAAUGCUUGCUUAGGAUACAAGUCUCACAAUCUUUAUUCUCAUAAAUAACACCUGGUACCAUUAAGUUCAAAGGUUUAACAUGAGGGUGACCUAGUCUAGCAUGCCAUAAUGCAUUCUUAUUUAAACUAGAGACAGAAUCAGAAGCAGAUGUAAAUGAACAACAAUGAUUAGGAACAGAAGCAAGAUCUUCAAGUAAGUAAAGGUCUCCUUUAGUAACUCCUUUCCCAAUCACCUUGCUGCUUUUAAUAUCCUGAAACUUUACAUCAUUAGGACUGAAUAUAACAUUGCAUUGCAAGUCAGUAGCACAUCUCUUAACCGACAAUAGAUUAGAUGUAAACUCAGGCAUGUAGAAGGCUUUAGAUUCUUUUUCAAACAACUUAAGUUUUCCUAUCCCUUUUAUGGGAAUUUUAUCACCAUUAGCAAUCAUUACAUUUCCAUUGGCAGGUUCAAUAUCCUUAAUCAAUCUAGUGUCACUUAUCAUAUGAUGAGAUGCACCAGAGUCUACUAUCAAGGCUUUAGACUUAUUACUAGCAGUGUGAGCUUGAUAAAGAGUCUUAACCGGUUUAUACUCAUUCCUUAAGUUGAUGAAUGCAUUUUCAAUCCUAGCACUUCUAGAAUCACUUUCAAUGAAUGCAUUUUCAAUCCUAGCACUUCUAGACUCACUUUCAAUACCAUCAGUUAUGUUCUCAAUCAGGGAUGCACCAAAUGAAUAACCAUAGUUGAUACUACUUUUGUUACCGUUUUCUUUGAGCAUCUUGAUGAGGGCGUCCAUGUCUGAUCUCCGGAUGUAGUCAUUGUUGCUUGGCCCUCCUGUGUAAGCCACAAGUGACUUCCCAUCACCCACAUCACGCACCUCUCCUUCAUUUGCCCUGCUUGAUGACCCAGCACCCGAGGAGCUCUCGGUCAUGUGUGCCCUUGCCUCCUUAUCUUUCAAGAACUUAGCCGGCUUCAGGUGAGGAUGAAGGAUCCAGCACUGACUCUUCUUGUGCCCAUGCUUCUUGCAGUGGUCACAGUUCCCAUUGAACCUCUUGUCCUCAUACUUGCCAUGAACCGCCUUGUUUGCUUGAGGAGCUUCAUUCUGAUCCGCUUGAGCAGCCUGGUUCGCCAAUGAGAGCCCUCCUUUGCCUCCAAACAAUCCAAUGGAGCCUUGCUCUUUCUGAAUCUGUGAGCAUACAUCCUCAAGAUCAGGAAGCUUAUCAGACCUUAACAUGUGCUGAAUGAGGCCGGAGUAGGCAGGACUCAGCGUGAGUAGUAACCCAAACACCUUGUCUUGCUCGCGCCUCUCAUUCAACUGGUCUGGAUCGGUUGUGCUUGGCCUCAACAUCUCUAGCUCGGACCACAAAGACCUGAACCUCCCCAAAUGCUUGGUGAACUCCAUGUCUUCUUGAGCUAGGUUGUUGAUGGCUUGCUUCACUUCAAAGACCCGGCUCAGGUUUGAAGUGUUCCCAUACACUUUCUUCAAAGUGUCCCACAGCUCCUUGGCUGUCUCACAGUAGCUGUAUGCCUCCAGUAUCGCCGGCUCCAACGACCCAUGAAGAACAGACAUCACCACCAUGUCCUCUUGCUGCCACUUCUCUACAGCUUCACUUGAGACCUCUUCUUGGCCCUCUCCUUGAGUAAUGAGCUUCGGAGCUUCACCAGGUAUAACAUGACUCCACAAGCCCUUACUUCCAACGGUUGUCUUCACUAGGCGAGACCAAACCAGGUAGUUGUUCCCCUUAAAGGUAAUCGCCACCUUCAUCUUCAUGUUCUCCAUCUUAACACCACUUGACUUCGAAAGCUUGAGUUAGAUGAGACCUUGAACCAACGAAUCUUGUAAGAACUGAUCUGAACUUGUCUAGAACCCACACACACGCAAGAAUGAACGCCUUUGAGCUUUGAUCUUCCACGGAUGGUUGCAAAGCUUCAAACUUGUUUCUCAACGUUUCAAAACAAGAACUCAGAUUCUUUCGAACCUGGCUCUGAUACCAUAUGAGAUUUAGAGAAUCUGAGUUGUAUAUGAGAGAGUAGUAUGAUUUAGGUUGAGUAGAGAAAGGAUUAGUGACUAAUGGAUAAUCAUGAUCGAAAUGUGUAGAGAGAUUAAUAGGAUAGAACUGUCUAAUCUUAUUAUGAGAUGGGAUUACAAUACUUAUAGGAGAUACAUUAGGGUUUACAAGUAAGGAGAAAUGGCACUAGUCAUAAGCAUGUGAAGUCAAGUCAAGGAGGGAGCGCUUCUUUUGAAUUCAACGGACGGUAAGGCUCACAUGCUUUCGCUUUGCCUUUACAGCCUGUCCAAAGACUGAAUGGAUAAGGCUCGUCCCGCCCUUAUCUCUAAACGGUCUGAUCAGUCUUAAACCUUCCGUGUACUCUAGAGGCUUCACUCAUCCAACUCCUUCUUCCUUCAUGUUUCCUAAGCUGUACGGUCAUGCCCUAUCCGUACAUGAUCUAUCCGUACAUGCCCUAUCCGUACAUAGGCCGUACACUCUUCCAUUACUUGCCCAACUCCUCUUCUCCUUACCAUAAUGACUUCCUCAUCUCAACACUCCCCCUCAAGCUUAGCUUUGUGAAAGUCUAAGCUUGGACAGCCAUGAGAUCUUCCUCAUUAAAAACCUCACCAAGGAAAACCCAUUGGGACAAAACCUUGAUGAGGGAAAAAGAGUGAAGACCUCACAGCCAAGGGGAUCAGCUCCUUCUCUUCCCAAGAUCAAUGAGGCCCAACCUGAUGUGAAUGGACUCCAUUGUCUUCUGUCUCGCAGCCUUAGUAAACACAUCAGCCAAUUGAUCUUCACUUCUUGUGUAGCAUGGCAGGAUGACUCCUAAGAUGAUCAUCUGCCUCACCUUGUGACAAUCAACUUCAAUGUGCUUGGUUCUUUCAUGGAACACCGAGUUGGAUGCAAUGUGGAUGGCAGCUUGGUUAUCACAAUGCAUUGUCAUUGGCGUGGCUUGAUCAAUCUCCAAAUGCUUCAAGAUGCCCUUGAUCCACACCAGCUCGUUGGUCAGCUUCAGCAUAGCUCUAUACUCGGCUUCUGCACUUGAGCAAGACACCACCUUCUGCUUCUUACUCUUCCAAGUAACCAAGUUGCCUCCAAUGAAUGUGCAAUAGCCUGUGGUUGAUCUCCUGUCUGCUCUAUCACCGGCCCAAUCCGCAUCACAGUAUCCAACCACUUCGGUGCUUCCAUUGCAACCCAUCCAUACUCCUUGAUCAGGUGAGCCGUUGAGAUACAUCAAGAUCCUCUCCACCAUGCGCCAAUGAUGCUCCUUAGGCACUUGCAUGUGUUGGCUCACCUGGUUCACAGCAAAACAAAUGUCAGGUCUAGUUAUGGUAAGAUAAAUCAAUUUGCCAACUAGCUUUCUAUAGAGUUUAGGAUCCUGGUAAGGUUUGCUGUCUUCAAUCUCCCCCUCUCGUGGGACUUUGUAACCAUCCUCCAUAGGCAUCCUUGCUGUCUUGCCUCCAUAAGCACCUGCACCUUUCAAAAGAUCAAGUGUAUACUUCCUUUGGGACAUGAACAAACCUUCCUUGGAUCUACAUAUCUCAAUUCCAAGAAAGUAUUUCAUUUCUCCCAAGUCUUUAAUCUCAAACAUGGAUUUAAGAAACUCCUUGGUUGCUAUGAUACCUUCCUUAUCACUUCCUGUGAUAAUGAUAUCAUCAACAUACACAAGGAGGGCAAUCAUACCUGAGGGAGUUGUGAGAGUGAAGAGAGUGUGAUCUAGUUCAGACUUCUUGAAGCCUCGGCCAUUAAGGGUAGUGCUCAGCUUGUUAUACCAUGCUCUUGGUGAUUGCUUCAACCCAUAAAUAGCUUUCUUUAGUCUCAACACAUUCCCUUUCUUCACCAAGUGUUCCAAGCCUGGAGGUGGAUGCAUAUACACUUCAUCCUCAAGCUCUCCUUGUAGAAAUGCAUUCUUCACAUCCAUUUGCCAUAAGCCCCAUCCAAGAUUCACAGCCAAGCUCAAUACAAUUCGAAUUGUGUGUAGCUUAGCUACUGGUGCAAAGGUCUCAAUGUAAUCUUCUCCAUAGGUUUGAGUGAAACCCCUUGCAACCAGUCUUGACUUCUUCCUCUCAACCUGGCCAUCAGCCUUAUACUUGAUUGUGAAGAUCCAUCUACUAGUCACAGCCUUCUUCCCUUUAGGCAGCUCACUUUCGUACCAUGUAUCAUUCUUGAUCAUAGCUCCUGCCUCAGCUCCAACUGAUUCCUUCCACUCCUUGUCUUGUAUUGCCUCUUCAUAGCUUCUUGGGAUAUAACCCUCAUCCAGAUUUACCAUGAAUGCGCAAUGUGCUUUAGGGUACUGAGCAAAGGAACACACAGCUUGAGAAGGAUGCUCCACAGCUUGGGCAUUGUAGUACACUCUCGUGUUUACCCAAGAGGAAGGAUCCUUCCUCAGCCUUGUACUUCUUCUUAGUUGUGGCUGUGGUUGAGGAGUCGGCUCUCUUACUUCUUCUUGAGUUUCAUCACCUGAUGACUCUUCCAUUGGUACUGAUUCGGUUUCCACACCAUCUUGUGUUGUUUCUACACCACCUUGAUCAUGUGACGCCAAAUCAUCUCCUCUUCUAUCACUUGAGCUUUCUUGAGCUCCUGUUUCUUCUCCCCCCUCAUGAUGAAGGUGGGGUUGUUCUGUAGUUGCCACAGGUGGUGGAGAUGUUCCCGGACAGCUCCCUCCACUAGUUUGGUCUUGAGACACCUUAAUGCCAAGGUUCUCCAAGAUAAUCCGCAGCACACCAGCCUUGUCUGAUGUAAUAUCCUUCAAGUCUUCCUGAUUCUUCUCAUCAUAGUAUCCCCGUGAUUCAAUGAACUUCACAUCUCUAGAAGUCAAGACCCUCCGUGUAACUGGAUCAUAACACCUAUACCCCUUUUGAGUUGUUGAAUAUCCAAUAAACAUGGCUUUGGUGCUUCUAGCUUCAAGCUUGUUGCGCAGCUCUCCCGGAAUCAGCACAUAACACAAGCAGCCGAAGACUCUCAGGUAGUCAAGAACCGGCUUGUGCUUGUUUAGAACUUCAAAUGGAGCAUGAUCCUCCAACACCUUAGUUGGAGUUCUGUUGAUCAAGUAGCAUGCAGUAGAUACGGCAUCACUCCAAAACCUUUUGGGAACAUUUGCUUGAAGCAUGAGAGCCCUUGCCACUUCCAUGAGAUGUCUGUUCUUCCUCUCAGCCACACCAUUUUGCUGAGGAGUAUAGGGGCAACUAGUCUGAUGGAGCACUCCAUGCUGAGCUAGAUGUUGUUUGAACGCCAAGCUUGUGUACUCUCCUCCAUUAUCUGAUCUAAAAAUUUUAAUCUUGGCAUGAUAUUGGUUAGUCACAUAAGCUUGAAAGUUCUUAAAUGCAUCAAGUACCCUAUCUUUGGUUUGAAUUAAGGUUAACCAGGUGUAUUUGGAUUUUUCAUCAAUGAAUGUGACAAAAUACUUAAAGUUAUCCCUAGACAUACAAGGAGCAGUCCACACAUCCGAAUGAAUCAAAUCAAAGCAAUUCUCAUAGACUGUUGUAGAUUUGGGAAACACAUUCUUACAAUGCUUGCUUAGGAUACAAGUCUCACAAUCUUUAUUCUCAUAAAUAACACCUGGUACCAUUAAGUUCAAAGGUUUAACAUGAGGGUGACCUAGUCUAGCAUGCCAUAAUGCAUUCUUAUUUAAACUAGAGACAGAAUCAGAAGCAGAUGUAAAUGAACAACAAUGAUUAGGAACAGAAGCAAGAUCUUCAAGUAAGUAAAGGUCUCCUUUAGUAACUCCUUUCCCAAUCACCUUGCUGCUUUUAAUAUCCUGAAACUUUACAUCAUUAGGACUGAAUAUAACAUUGCAUUGCAAGUCAGUAGCACAUCUCUUAACCGACAAUAGAUUAGAUGUAAACUCAGGCAUGUAGAAGGCUUUAGAUUCUUUUUCAAACAACUUAAGUUUUCCUAUCCCUUUUAUGGGAAUUUUAUCACCAUUAGCAAUCAUUACAUUUCCAUUGGCAGGUUCAAUAUCCUUAAUCAAUCUAGUGUCACUUAUCAUAUGAUGAGAUGCACCAGAGUCUACUAUCAAGGCUUUAGACUUAUUACUAGCAGUGUGAGCUUGAUAAAGAGUCUUAACCGGUUUAUACUCAUUCCUUAAGUUGAUGAAUGCAUUUUCAAUCCUAGCACUUCUAGAAUCACUUUCAAUGAAUGCAUUUUCAAUCCUAGCACUUCUAGACUCACUUUCAAUACCAUCAGUUAUGUUCUCAAUCAGGGAUGCACCAAAUGAAUAACCAUAGUUGAUACUACUUUUGUUACCGUUUUCUUUGAGCAUCUUGAUGAGGGCGUCCAUGUCUGAUCUCCGGAUGUAGUCAUUGUUGCUUGGCCCUCCUGUGUAAGCCACAAGUGACUUCCCAUCACCCACAUCACGCACCUCUCCUUCAUUUGCCCUGCUUGAUGACCCAGCACCCGAGGAGCUCUCGGUCAUGUGUGCCCUUGCCUCCUUAUCUUUCAAGAACUUAGCCGGCUUCAGGUGAGGAUGAAGGAUCCAGCACUGACUCUUCUUGUGCCCAUGCUUCUUGCAGUGGUCACAGUUCCCAUUGAACCUCUUGUCCUCAUACUUGCCAUGAACCGCCUUGUUUGCUUGAGGAGCUUCAUUCUGAUCCGCUUGAGCAGCCUGGUUCGCCAAUGAGAGCCCUCCUUUGCCUCCAAACAAUCCAAUGGAGCCUUGCUCUUUCUGAAUCUGUGAGCAUACAUCCUCAAGAUCAGGAAGCUUAUCAGACCUUAACAUGUGCUGAAUGAGGCCGGAGUAGGCAGGACUCAGCGUGAGUAGUAACCCAAACACCUUGUCUUGCUCGCGCCUCUCAUUCAACUGGUCUGGAUCGGUUGUGCUUGGCCUCAACAUCUCUAGCUCGGACCACAAAGACCUGAACCUCCCCAAAUGCUUGGUGAACUCCAUGUCUUCUUGAGCUAGGUUGUUGAUGGCUUGCUUCACUUCAAAGACCCGGCUCAGGUUUGAAGUGUUCCCAUACACUUUCUUCAAAGUGUCCCACAGCUCCUUGGCUGUCUCACAGUAGCUGUAUGCCUCCAGUAUCGCCGGCUCCAACGACCCAUGAAGAACAGACAUCACCACCAUGUCCUCUUGCUGCCACUUCUCUACAGCUUCACUUGAGACCUCUUCUUGGCCCUCUCCUUGAGUAAUGAGCUUCGGAGCUUCACCAGGUAUAACAUGACUCCACAAGCCCUUACUUCCAACGGUUGUCUUCACUAGGCGAGACCAAACCAGGUAGUUGUUCCCCUUAAAGGUAAUCGCCACCUUCAUCUUCAUGUUCUCCAUCUUAACACCACUUGACUUCGAAAGCUUGAGUUAGAUGAGACCUUGAACCAACGAAUCUUGUAAGAACUGAUCUGAACUUGUCUAGAACCCACACACACGCAAAGAUGAACACCUUUGAGCUUUGGUCUUCCACGGAUGGUUGCAAAGCUUCAACCUUGUUUCUCAACGUUUCAAAACAAGAACUCAGAUUCUUUCGAACCUGGCUCUGAUACCAUAUGAGAUUUAGAGAAUCUGAGUUGUAUAUGAGAGAGUAGUAUGAUUUAGGGUGAGUAGAGAAAGGAUUAGUGACUAAUGGAUAAUCAUGAUCGAAAUGUGUAGAGAGAUUAAUAGGAUCGAACUGUCUGAUUUAUUAUUAUGGAGAGAUUACAUAUUUAUAUGGAUCAGCAUACAAGGGUUUUGUAAAGAACUGUCUUAUUUAUUAUUAUGGAGAGAUUACAUAUUUAUAUGGAUCAGCAUACAAGGGUUUUGUAAUAGUGAAAGCAAAACCUAAAGACUAAGCAUGUGUAGUCAAACUAGAAGGGGCGCGCCUCAUUUGAAUGAACGGAUGAGAGCUGCUACACGCUUGAUGCCAAAAGGAUCUUUGAGAUGCUCCUUUUGCCUUUACAGCUAGCACCAGCUAGACCGCGGCUCUAUCUGAUCCUCCAACGGUCCUGGCCUAAAGCCUCUCUCUCUGGUCGAGUCUUUGUCCACUCUAAGUUAGAUAAAUGAUUGCCUUCCUUCCCAAGAUACCUAGACUGUACGGCCACUCCCUAUCCGUACAUGUCCGUACACAACUACUCCAUCUCUUCUCUUGAUCUUUCUUCUUAUGUAAACCCUUGAUCAUCUCACUUAAUCAUCUCCAUAACUUAACACUCCCCCUCAAGCUUAGCUUUGUGAAAGUCUAAGCUUGGACAGCCAUGAGAUCUUCCUCAUUAAAAACCUCACCAAGGAAAACCCAUUGGGACAAAACCUUAUGCUACAUCAAGAUUGGAAGGAAUCUGUUGGAGAUGAGGCAAAUGCCAUGAUAAAGAAUGACACUUGGUUUGAAAGUGAGUUGCCAAAAGGAAAGAAGGCAGUAACCAGCAAGUGGAUAUUCACCAUUAAGUAUCUACCUGAUGGAACCAUUGACAGAAAGAAGACAAGACUGGUGGCUAGAGGAUACACUCAAACAUAUGGGGAAGACUACAUUGAUACCUUUGCCCCUGUUGCUAAGCUACAUACAAUAAGAAUUGUAUUGUCUCUUGCUGUGAACCUUGAGUGGGAGCUUUGGCAGAUGGAUGUGAAGAAUGCAUUUCUUCAGGGAGAACUAGAAGAUGAAGUGUACAUGCAUCCACCACCGGGUCUUGAACAUCUUGUGAAACCAGGGAAUGUAUUGAGACUCAAGAAGGCAAUCUAUGGGUUGAAGCAAUCACCUAGAGCAUGGUACAACAAGCUGAGUACUACUCUGAAUGGCCGUGGGUUCAAGAAGUCAGAGUUGGAUCACACCCUCUUCACCCUCACUACACCUUCAGGUAUCAUCUGUCUACUCGUGUAUGUUGAUGACAUUAUCAUAACAGGUAGUGAUAAGGCUGGUAUAAAAGCCACAAAGGAGUUUUUGAAAUCUGUGUUUGAAAUCAAGGACUUAGGGGAAAUGAAAUACUUCCUUGGAAUUGAGUUGUGUAGAUCUAAGGAAGGAUUGUUCAUUUCCCAAAGGAAGUAUACACUUGAUCUUUUGAAAGAUGCAGGUAUACAAGGAGACAAGACAGCAAAGAUGCCUCUUGAAGAUGGAUACAAGGUUCCACGUGAGGGGGAGGUUGAAGAUAGCAAGGCCUUUCAUGAUCCAAAGCUGUACAGGAAGCUAGUAGGGAAGCUCAUCUACCUUACAAUCACACGACCAGACAUAUGCUUUGCGGUGAACCAAGUGAGCCAGCAUAUGCAAGUCCCAAAGGAUCAUCACUGGCGAAUGGUGGAGAGACUUCUCUUGUAUCUGAAUGGAACGUCAAGCCUUGGAGUGUGGAUGGGAUGCAACAAGAGCACUGAAGUGGUGGGAUACUGUGAUGCGGAUUGGGCUGGAGAUAGAGCAGACAGGAGAUCAACCACAGGCUAUUGCACAUUCAUUGGAGGCAACUUGGUGACUUGGAAGAGUAAGAAGCAGAAGGUGGUGUCUUGUUCAAGCGCUGAAGCUGAGUAUAGAGCAAUGCUGAAGCUUACCAAUGAGUUGGUAUGGAUCAAAGGAAUCUUGAAGCAUUUGGAGAUAGAGCAGGGAACUCCAAUGACUAUGCAUUGUGAUAAUCAAGCGGCUAUACACAUUGCGACCAACUCAGUCUUCCAUGAGAGAACCAAGCACAUUGAAGUUGAUUGUCACAAGGUGAGGCAGAUGAUUGUCUUGGGAGUGAUCUUGCCAUGCUACACAAGGAGUGAGGAUCAACUUGCGGAUGUAUUCACCAAGGCUGCAAGACAAAAGACUAUGGAGUCCAUUCAUACCAGAUUGGGGCUCAUAGAUCUUUCCCCAAGGAGCUGAUCCCCUUUGCCAUGAGGUCUUUACUCUUUUUCCCUCAUCAAGGUUUUGUCCCAAUGGGUUUUCCUUGGUGAGGUUUUUAAUGAGGAAGAUCUCAUGGCUGUCCAAGCUUAGACUUUCACAAAGCUAAGCUUGAGGGGGAGUGUUAAGAUAAGGAGAGUUAAGUGAAGAAGGGAUGGUUCCAAGCUUAACUAAGUUACUAAGUUAAGCUUGAGGGGGAGUGUGAAAAUAAGUGGUUCAGUAUAUGAGGAGAUGGCUUAAAGAGUUGAGGAUGUGAGAAUGUGGAGGAAAAGGGAAGGAAGGUUAGGGAUCGACCAGGCCGUACAAGAGGCCGUACCGGCCGUACUGUCCGUACUGUCCGGGUCGAUCCAUAACUCGACCAAGCGGGAAGUUACCCGGGUGAAAGGGUUAAACGGCCAAAGGGGUUUUACCUUAGGAGAUAUGACCGUUUGGAUGGAGGGAGUGACCGCGGCUUAUCCUGACAGUCUGGCACAUGCUGUAAAGGCAAAAGGAACCGAGUCCAAGAUGCCAAAAGCGUGUGACAGCUCCCAUUGGUUUACAUUUGAAUUAAAGCAAUCUUAUCCUUGACCUCACAUGCUUAGCGUUUCCUAAUACCCUAAUGUCUCUCUCUAUAUAUUGUAAACUCUGUCUUGAUUAAUGAAUAACACGAGUUCAUCAUAUUCUCUCUCUAGUUCAUCAUGUUUCUCUUCUACAUUUCAUAAAUCAUCUCAUCUCACUUUAAUCUUUCUCUAAAUCUCUCAAUACCUGUUCAACUCUCUAAAAUCAUAUGGUAUCAGAGCCAGGUUGGCUUUGGUAUUGAGAUUUAGAGUGUUCUUCAGCUUCAGUUCAUACUCUUUCAUACUUUCUUGUCGGUUCUAACAAAGCAAGAUGGAGGGAAACUACAAGGUCAUUACGGUUCCUGUUGCGUUGAAGGGUGGUAGUAACUACCUGUUGUGGUCAAGGCUGGUGAAGACAGCCAUUGGGAGGCUAGGGCUGUGGAGUCACAUCACGGAUGAUGCAACCAAGCCAGUGGCUAAAGACGGAGAAGGACAUGAGGGUGUGGGAGAUCAAGUCGCUGCUGCCGAGAAGAAGUGGAUUCAAGAAGACUUGAUGGUGCUUUCAGUACUACAAGGGUCCCUUGAAGAGCAUCUCUUGGAGGCCUACAGCUACUGCGAGACUCCAAAACACCUGUGGGAGGUACUCCAGAAGACUUUUGGGAACGUUACCAAUCUGAACCGCGUGUAUGAGAUUAAGAAGGCUAUCAACACACUGGUUCAAGAUGGAGAAGAGUUCACCAAGCAUUUGGGCAAGUAUAGAUCCUUGUGGUCUGAGCUUGAAUCAUUGAGGCCAAGCACCGCGGAUCAAGAGCUACUCAUGGAGAGGAGGGAGCAGGAUCAGGUGUUCGGAUUGUUGCUGACACUAGAUCCUCCGUUCAAUGAUGUGAUCAAGCACAUGUUGAGGAUGCCGAGUCUUCCAUCUAUGGAGGAAGUGUGUGCGCAGAUUCAGAAGGAAGAGGGGUCACUUGGUAUGUUUGGAGGGAAAGGAGACAUGGCUCUGUCCAACAAGGCUGAAGCAAUCCAAGCACACAAGGCUGCUUACCGUGGAGAGGAAAGGAAGUUCAGUGGAAACUGUGACCAUUGCAAGAAGCCGGGACACAAGAGGAGUCAGUGCUGGAUCCUACACCCCCAUUUGAAGCCAGCCAAGUUCAACAAGGAGAGAGAGGGAAGAGCUCACCUUUCUGCAGAGACAAGUGAAGCUGGCGCAUCAGGAGCUGGCUCAUCUGGUCUUGCGGGUGAAAGUGAAGGAAGAGCCUUAACCUCUCACCACCAAGGAGCUGUGAAGAAUAUGGAUCAUGAGGUGAUCAAGAAGUCAGACAUUGAUGCCUUGAUCAAAGCCCUUAAAGAGUCUGGUAAAGCCCUUGGUUAUUCCUAUACUGCUCAUGUGUUGCCUAGAACUUGUGAUAGCUUGCUAGGAAACUUUGAUAGAAUGGGAAAUGAACCAGAUAGAUAUACAACCUUUGCUGCUGAUAGGAUGUCUAGAAAUGAAUUCACAUUGCUUGAUCUCAUUGAUAAACUGAAACUGGUAAAAGAAUCACCUAGGAAUCAUAUUGCUCAAGGAAUAAAACCGUUGAUUAUUGAUUCAGGUGCUUCACAUCAUAUGAUAAGUGAUGAUAGCCUUAUAAAGAACAUAGAACCGGCUCAUGGACAUGUAAUGAUUGCAAAUGGUGAUAGAAUUCCUAUUAGAGGAGUAGGAGACUUGAAACUGUUUAAUAAGGAUUCUAAAGCUUUAUACAUGCCUGAGUUUACUUCUAAUCUAUUAUCUGUUAAGAGGUGUACCAAUGAUCUUCAAUGCAAUGUUAUUUUCAGUCCUAAUGAUGUGAAAUUUCAGGAUAUUGAAAGCAGUAAGUUGAUUGGGCAAGGAGUAACCAAAGGAGACCUUUAUUUACUUGAAGACCUUUCUAUCAUUUCUAGUUCUAAUUGCUUGUUGAGUUCCGUUUUAAGUAGAGGUGCAUUAUGGCAUUCUAGGCUAGGACAUCCACAUGUUAGAGCCUUAAGCUUAAUGUUACCAGGUGUCAUGUUUAAAAAUAAUGAAUGUGAAGCUUGUAUUUUGGGAAAACAUUGUAAGACUGUGUUCAAGAGAUCUACUACUAUCUAUGAUAAAUGCUUUGAUCUUGUUCAUUCUGAUGUAUGGACUGCUCCAUGCUUGUCUAGGGACAAUUACAAAUACUUUGUCACAUUCAUAGAUGAAAAAUCCAAAUACACCUGGAUAACACUAAUUAAAACAAAGGAUAGGGUUCUAGAUGCAUUUAGAAACUUUCAAUCAUAUGUUUCUAACCAGUAUAAUGCCAAGAUUAAGAUUUUCAGGUCUGAUAAUGGUGGAGAGUAUACUGGCCAUGCAUUCAAGAACCAUCUAGCUCAACAUGGGAUACUUCACCAAACGAGUUGCCCUUAUACACCUCAACAAAAUGGAGUGGCUGAGAGAAAGAACAGACAUCUUAUGGAAGUGGCUAGAUCAAUGAUGUUCCAGAUGAGAGUGCCAAAGAGAUUCUGGAGUGAUGCUGUGAUCACGGCUUGCUACCUAAUCAAUAGGAUUCCAACCAAGAUCCUGGAAGACAAAGCUCCUUAUGAAGUUCUCAACAACAGCAAGCCAGUCCUAGAUCACCUAAGAGUGUUUGGGUGUGUAAGCUAUGUUCUUAUCCCGGGAGAGAUAAGAAACAAGCUGGAAGCAAAGAGUAUCAAAGCUAUGAUGAUAGGAUACUCAACCACACAGAAGGGAUACAAGUGCUUUGUUCCUGAGUCAAGGAGAGUUCUUGUAUCAAGAGAUGUCAAGUUCUUUGAAGAGAAGAGCUACUAUGAAGAUAAAGAUUGGAAAGAGCUGGAGGAUCUUUCACAACCUUCAGAUAGAGCUACAAGCUUGAGACAGAUACUAGAAGGCCUUGGAAUUGGAAUGUCCCAGGAGUCGACAGAGAAUCAGUCAUCUGAAAGACAAGAAGCUGAAGAACCAUCUCACCUUGAUCAUGAGGGAGGGAAUGGAAUUGAGCCGGAUGAGAAUCAAGAUUUUGCUCAAGAUUUUGCGGAUCAUCCUGAUCAAGGUGGAGCUGAACCAAGUAAUGAAGAGGUUAAUGAGUUACCAGAACAAGGAGAAGUGGAAACAACUGAAGUAGAAGCACCAGAGCAAGCACCAGCUGAGGUACCAUUGAGGAGAAGCACACGGCUGAAGAGAGAUGCUUCCAACUGGGUAAACACGAGAGUGUACUACAAUGCCCAGGCUGUGGAGCAUCCUUCUCAAGCCGUGUGUUCCUUUGCUGAGUUUCCAGAGGAGCAUUAUGCCUUUAUGAUUAGUCUGGAUGAGAGUUAUGUGCCAAGGACUUAUGAAGAAGCUAUGUUAGACAAGGAAUGGAAAGAAUCAGUGGGAGCUGAAGCAGGUGCUAUGAUCAGGAAUGAUACAUGGUAUGAGAGUGAGCUGCCUAAGGGAAAGAAGGCUGUAUCUAGUAGAUGGAUCUUCACAAUCAAGUAUCUAGCAAAUGGACAGAUUGAUAGGAAGAAGACCAGACUGGUUGCAAGAGGAUUUACACAAACCUAUGGAGAGGAUUACAUUGAUACCUUUGCACCAGUAGCUAAGCUGCACACAGUUCGGAUUGUGUUGUCCAUUGCAACAAACUUGGAGUGGGAUUUGUGGCAGAUGGAUGUGAAGAAUGCUUUCUUACAAGGUGAGCUAGAAGAUGAGGUAUACAUGCUUCCUCCUCCUGGUCUUGAGCAUCUAGUAAAACCAGGAAAUGUUUUGAGAUUGAAGAAGGCAAUAUAUGGGCUGAAGCAGUCUCCUAGAGCUUGGUACAGAAAGCUGAGUACAACUCUCAAUGGGAGAGGAUUCAGGAAGUCUGAACUGGAUCAUACACUCUUCACUUUGGUUACUCCAUCAGGGAUCAUUGUGAUACUGGUAUAUGUGGAUGAUUUGAUUAUCACAGGGAGUGAUAAGGCUGGGAUUAAAGCCACUAAAGAGUUCCUCAAGUCUGUGUUUGAUAUCAAAGACUUGGGAGAGAUGAAGUAUUUCUUGGGGAUUGAGAUAUGCAGAUCCAAGGAGGGUUUGUUUAUGUGUCAAAGGAAGUAUACAAUGGAUAUGUUGAAGGAGACUGAUGUACUUGGAGGAAAGGUAGCCAAGACACCUCUUGAAGAGGGGUAUAAGGUCUUACGUGAGGGGGAGGUUGAAGAGAACCAGUUGUUUGAGGAUGCUAAGCUGUAUAGGAAGAUGGUUGGCAAGCUGAUCUACUUGACCAUCACCAGACCAGAUAUAUGUUUUGCUGUGAACCAAGUGAGUCAGCAUAUGCAGGCACCAAAGGUCCAUCACUGGAAGAUGGUUGAUAGGAUACUGAGGUAUCUGAGUGGGACGACUGGACAAGGGGUUUGGAUGGGUUGUAAUGGCAGUACAGAAGUGGUUGGGUAUUGUGAUGCUGAUUGGGCAGGAGAUAGAGUGGACAGGAGAUCAACUACUGGGUAUUGUACAUUCAUUGGAGGAAACUUGGUUACUUGGAAGAGUAAGAAGCAGAAGGUUANNNNNNNNNNNNNNNNNNNNNNNNNNNNNNNNNNNNNNNNNNNNNNNNNNNNNNNNNNNNNNNNNNNNNNNNNNNNNNNNNNNNNNNNNNNNNNNNNNNNNNNNNNNNNNNNNNNNNNNNNNNNNNNNNNNNNNNNNNNNNNNNNNNNNNNNNNNNNNNNNNNNNNNNNNNNNNNNNNNNNNNNNNNNNNNNNNNNNNNNNNNNNNNNNNNNNNNNNNNNNNNNNNNNNNNNNNNNNNNNNNNNNNNNNNNNNNNNNNNNNNNNNNNNNNNNNNNNNNNNNNNNNNNNNNNNNNNNNNNNNNNNNNNNNNNNNNNNNNNNNNNNNNNNNNNNNNNNNNNNNNNNNNNNNNNNNNNNNNNNNNNNNNNNNNNNNNNNNNNNNNNNNNNNNNNNNNNNNNNNNNNNNNNNNNNNNNNNNNNNNNNNNNNNNNNNNNNNNNNNNNNNNNNNNNNNNNNNNNNNNNNNNNNNNNNNNNNNNNNNNNNNNNNNNNNNNNNNNNNNNNNNNNNNNNNNNNNNNNNNNNNNNNNNNNNNNNNNNNNNNNNNNNNNNNNNNNNNNNNNNNNNNNNNNNNNNNNNNNNNNNNNNNNNNNNNNNNNNNNNNNNNNNNNNNNNNNNNNNNNNNNNNNNNNNNNNNNNNNNNNNNNNNNNNNNNNNNNNNNNNNNNNNNNNNNNNNNNNNNNNNNNNNNNNNNNNNNNNNNNNNNNNNNNNNNNNNNNNNNNNNNNNNNNNNNNNNNNNNNNNNNNNNNNNNNNNNNNNNNNNNNNNNNNNNNNNNNNNNNNNNNNNNNNNNNNNNNNNNNNNNNNNNNNNNNNNNNNNNNNNNNNNNNNNNNNNNNNNNNNNNNNNNNNNNNNNNNNNNNNNNNNNNNNNNNNNNNNNNNNNNNNNNNNNNNNNNNNNNNNNNNNNNNNNNNNNNNNNNNNNNNNNNNNNNNNNNNNNNNNNNNNNNNNNNNNNNNNNNNNNNNNNNNNNNNNNNNNNNNNNNNNNNNNNNNNNNNNNNNNNNNNNNNNNNNNNNNNNNNNNNNNNNNNNNNNNNNNNNNNNNNNNNNNNNNNNNNNNNNNNNNNNNNNNNNNNNNNNNNNNNNNNNNNNNNNNNNNNNNNNNNNNNNNNNNNNNNNNNNNNNNNNNNNNNNNNNNNNNNNNNNNNNNNNNNNNNNNNNNNNNNNNNNNNNNNNNNNNNNNNNNNNNNNNNNNNNNNNNNNNNNNNNNNNNNNNNNNNNNNNNNNNNNNNNNNNNNNNNNNNNNNNNNNNNNNNNNNNNUAUCACUUUUAGUGAUGUUUAGAGUGAUCUGAGUAUUUAGGAAAGAUUAGAAGAGAUUUAGAGAAGAUUAAAGUAUGAAAUGAGAUUAAGAGUCUAAAGAACUAAAGAGAGACUAAGAGAGACUCAUAACUUGCUUAAUCUUAUUAAUGAUGAGGUUACAAUAUAUAUAGAGAGAUCAGAUACAAGGGUUUCCAUUUGAUCACUAUUCUAAGCAUGUGGAGUCAAGGGAAGAGGCUCCUCAUUUCAAACUCAGCCAAUAAGAGAGUGAUCGUGUGUGAGGCAUCUUGGACUGAGAUGCUUUGCCUUUCCAGCCUGUCACAGCCUGUCAAGGCUCUCCACCUUAUCCACAACCUUAUCCUAACCUCAGCGCACACUCCUCUCUUUCCUGGAAGUUUCCCUUUGCCCAUUUCACUCUCAAGUAACUCCUUUCACUCAGGUAACUUCCUUUUAACUCUUUUUACCACAGUAACAAAUAUUUACUGUGGUAACUUUCUCCACCCAAGUUACUUCAACUCUCCAUAACUACUCCUCAUCUCAACACUCCCCCUCAAGCUUAGCUUUGUGAAAGUCUAAGCUUGGACAGCCAUGAGAUCUUCCUCAUUAAAAACCUCACUAAGGAAAACCCAUUGGGACAAAACCUUAAUGAGGGAAAAAGAGUGAAGAUCUCACAGCUAAGGGGAUCAGCUCCUUCUCUUCCCAAGAUCUAUGAGUCCCAAUCUGAUGUGAAUGGACUCCAUAGUCUUUUGUCUCGCAGCCUUGGUGAAUACAUCAGCCAACUGAUCUUCACUUCUAGUAUAGCAGGGCAAGAUCACUCCUAGCACAAUCAUCUGUCUCACUUUGUGGCAAUCAACCUCAAUGUGCUUGGUUCUCUCAUGGAACACCGAGUUGGAUGCAAUGUGAAUAGCAGCUUGAUUGUCACAAUGCAUUGUCAUUGGGGAGGCUUGAUCAAUCUCUAAGUGCUUCAAGAUGCCUUUGAUCCACACCAACUCGUUUGUAAGCUUCAGCAUGGCUCUAUACUCAGCUUCAGCACUUGAACAUGACACCACCUUCUGCUUCUUGCUCUUCCAAGUCACCAAGUUACCUCCAAUGAAUGUGCAAUAGCCGGUAGUUGAUCUCCUAUCAGCUCUAUCUCCUGCCCAAUCAGCAUCACAAUACCCCACCACUUCUGUGCUUCCAUUACAUCCCAUCCAAACCCCUUGAUCCGGCGAGCCAUUCAGAUACAUCAGCAGCCUCUCUACCAUGCGCCAAUGAUGUUCCUUUGGAAGCUGCAUGUGUUGACUCACCUGGUUCACAGCAAAACAUAUAUCAGGUCUUGUAAUGGUAAGAUAAAUCAAUUUGCCAACAAGAGUUCUAUAGAGUUUAGGAUCAUGAAAUGGCUUGCUGUCUCACAGCAAAGCAAAUGUCAGGUCUAGUUAUGGUAAGGUAAAUCAAUUUACCAACUAGCUUUCUAUAGAGUUUAGGAUCCUGAUAAGGUUUGCUGUCUUCAAUCUCCCCCUCUCUUGGGACUUUGUAGCCAUCCUCCAUAGGCAUCCUUGCUGUCUUGCCUCCAUAAGCACCUGCACCUUUCAAAAGAUCAAGUGUAUACUUCCUUUGGGACAUGAACAAUCCUUCCUUAGAUCUACAAAUCUCAAUUCCAAGGAAGUAUUUCAUUUCUCCCAAGUCUUUGAUUUCAAACAUAGACUUUAGGAAUUCCUUGGUUGCUUUGAUACCUUCCUUAUCACUCCCAGUGAUAAUGAUAUCAUCCACAUACACAAGGAGAGCAACCAUACCUGAGGGUGUCGUGAGAGUAAAGAGAGUGUGAUCCAAUUCUGACUUCUUGAAGCCUCGGCCAUUCAGAGUUGUGCUCAACUUGUUAUACCAAGCUCUUGGUGAUUGCUUCAACCCAUAAAUGGCUUUCUUUAGCCUCAGUACAUUCCCUCUCUUCACUAGAUGUUCCAGACCUGGUGGAGGAUACAUAUAGACUUCAUCCUCAAGCUCUCCUUGUAGAAAAGCAUUCUUUACAUCCAUUUGCCACAAUCCCCAUCCUAGGUUCACAGCCAAGCUUAAGACAAUCCUAAUGGUGUGUAGCUUGGCUACUGGUGCAAAUGUCUCAAUGUAGUCCUCUCCAUAUGUCUGAGUGAACCCUCUUGCUACUAGUCUAGUCUUCUUCCUCUCAAUUGACCCAUCAGCCUUGUACUUGAUUGUAAAGAUCCAUCUACUAGACACAGCUUUCUUCCCUUUUGGUAGUUCACUCUCAUACCAUGUAUCAUUCUUUAUCAUAGCUCCUGCCUCAGCUCCUACUGAUUCCUUCCAUUCCUUAUCCUCCAUUGCCUCUUCAUAGCUUCUUGGUAUGUGAUUUUCAUCCAAGUUUACCAUGAAUGCGCAAUGUGCUUCUGGAUAUUGAGCAAAAGAACACACGGCCUGAGUAGGAUGCUUCACAGCUUGGGCAUUGUAGUACACUCUUGUGUUUACCCAACUGGAAGGAUCCUAGAACACACGGCCUGAGUAGGAUGCUUCACAGCUUGGGCAUUGUAGUACACUCUUGUGUUUACCCAACUGGAAGGAUCCUUUCUCAGCCUUGUACUUCUUCUCAAUACUGGCCCUUCUUGCGCCAUCUCUUGUUCUUCUUCUUGUGGCUGCACACUUGUUUCAGAUCUUUCUUCUCCUAGCUGACUUGCUUCAGCUCCUUCUUCCCUUAGCUGACUUUCUUCAGCUCCUUCUUCUUGAUCAUUUGAUUCCACAGCUUGAUCAUGAGAGCCAGAACUCUCUUCUCUACUUGUUUCUUCACGGUUUGGAGUUCUUGUUUCAUUCCCCCCCUCAUGCUCAAGGUUGGAAGUCUGAUGAUCCGGGACUGGGGGAGUGCUUCUCCCCCCUUGAUGUCCUUGAUUCAUGUUGAUUCCAAGACCUUCUAGGAUAAUCCUCAAGGUUUCAGCUCUAUCAGAGGUAAGAUCCUUCAAGUCUUCUUGAAUCUGUUCCUCAUAAUAUCCUUUCUCUUCAACAAACUUCACUUCUCUAGAUACUAACACUCUCCUUGUGUUAGGAUCAUAGCACUUGUAUCCUUUCUGACUUGAUGAAUAUCCAAUGAACAUUGCCUUUGAACUCUUAGCAUCUAGCUUGUUUCUUAUCUCUCCAGGCACCAUCACAAAACACAAACACCCAAAGACCUUCAUAUGCUCGAGAGAAGGCUUGUACUGAUUCAGUACCUCAAAUGGUGAUUGUCCUUGGAGGAUCAGAGUUGGUGUCCUGUUGAUGAGAUAACAUGCCGUAGCAACAGCAUCACUCCAAAACUUCUUAGGCACAUUGGAUUGAAACAUCAUGGACCUGGCUACUUCCAUCAAAUGCCUGUUCUUCCUCUCAGCCACACCAUUCUGUUGUGGUGUAUAGGGACAGCUUGUCUGAUGAAGAAUUCCAUGCUGAGCUAAGUGUAGCUUGAAUGCUUGUCCCGUGUACUCUCCUCCAUUAUCUGACCUGAAAAUCUUUAUCUUGGCAUUGUAAUGGUUAGUCACAUAGGAUUGAAAAUUUUUAAAUGCAUCAAGUACCCUAUCUUUGGUUGGAAUUAAGGUUAACCAGGUGUAUUUGGAUUUUUCAUCAAUGAAAGUUACAUAAUACUUAUGAUUUUCUCUAGAUAGGCAAGGUGCAGUCCAAACAUCAGAAUGAAUAAGAUCAAAACACUUUUCAUAAACAGUAGUAGACUUGUUAAAGACAGUUCUACAAUGCUUGCCUAAAAUGCAAGCUUCACAAUCAUUAUUCUCAAAGGAAACACCUGGCAACAUCAGUUUUAAAGCCUUAUUGUGAGGGUGUCCUAAUCUAGCAUGCCACAAUGCAUUUUUACUUAAACCAGAACUAGAAACAGAAGUAAAUGAGCAGCUAUAUCUAGAAACAGGAGUGAGAUCUUCAAGUAAAUAUAGCUCUCCUUUAGUCACUCCCUUUCCAAUCAUCUUGCUGCUUUUAAUAUCCUGAAACUUCACAUCAUUAGGACUGAAUAUAACAUUGCAUUGCAAAUCAUUAGCACAUUUCUUAACAGAUAACAAGUUUGAUGUGAAUUCAGGCAUAUAAAAAGCUUUAGUUUCCUUAUCAAAUAGUUUAAGACUUCCUAUUCCUCUAAUAGGAAUCUUAUCUCCAUUAGCAAUCAGUACAUUUCCAUUCAUUGGCACAAUGUUUUUAAUUAAGCUAGUGUCACUUAUCAUAUGAUGAGAUGCACCUGAAUCAAUCACUAAUGGCUUAAUGUCAUGAGAACUAGCAAUAUGCGCAAGGAUACUAGAUGGUUUGAAUGCAUGAUCAUUUCUAGCAAGGUUUGCAGUCCUAGAUUGAUUUACCAUUUCUAUCAAGCUCUCAUGCAUCCUAUCAGUUCUAGUUAGAUUCUCAUAGUUCUCUAUCACCCUAGCACCAAAGGAAUACCCAAAGAUGUUACCAUUCUCCUUGAACAUCUUAAUGAGAGCAUCAAGGUCGGAUCUCCUUAGAUACUCUUGAUCAUUGUUCCCACGGUUGCUUGAUGCUCCAGUGUAGGCUACCAGAGACUUUCCAUCACCUGCCUCACGCCCAUCUAUCUCCUUUCCUUUGCUUGUACCAGCUCCACUUGUUCCAUCCGAGACAUUAGCCCUUGCCUCACGGUCCUUCAUGAACUUAGCCGGCUUGAGGUGAGGAUGGAGUAUCCAGCAUUGGCUCUUCUUGUGGCCAUGCUUCUUGCAGUGAUCACAACUCCCAUUGAACCUCCUCUCCUCAAACUUCCCAUGCGCAGCCGCAGCCUUGUUUGCUUGUGGAGCUUCACUACCUUCCUCUUGAGUUGCUUGGCUUGCAAGGGACAGGUCUCCUUUCUUUGCAAACAACCCAAUGGAGCCUUGCUCCUUCUGAAUCCGCGCACACACAUCCUCAAGAUCAGGUAGAGUGUCUUCUCUAAGCAGGUGCUGGAUGAGACCGUUGUAAGCCGGGUUCAGCGUGAGGAGUAGCCCAAAGACCUUGUCUUGCUCUCUCCUCUUGUUAAGCUCAUCAGCAUCCGUUGUGCUUGGCCUAAGCAUCUCCAUCUCGGACCAGAGACUCCUGAAUCUCCCUAGAUGCUUGGUGAACUCCAUGUCUUCUUGUACAAGGUUGUUGAUGGCUUGCUUCACUUCAAACACUCGGCUUAGGUUUGAUGUGUUGCCAUACACCUUCUUCAAAGUAUCCCACAGCUCCUUAGCAGACUCACAGUAGCUGUAUGCAUCCAGAAUAGCCGGCUCAAGUGACGCAUGAAGCACAGACAUCACCAGCAUAUCCUCUUGAUGCCACUUCUCUUCCGCCUUGCUUGCAGCCUCACCAUCAUCCUCUCCUUGAGUGAUGAGUUUUGAAGCUUCUCCGGGGGUGAUGUGCUUCCACAACCCCUUGCUUCCCACCGUGGUUCUCACCAUCCGAGACCACACCAAGUAGUUGGUUCCCUUGAAGACCACAGCUACCUUCAUGUUCAUGUUCAUCCCACUCUCCAUGUUGAAUGAUGAACUCUCUAAGCUUCAGAAACUUUAUCUUGAGUUGAAUGACUUGUAGAACCCUUCACAGCCUCGAUCUUCAACCCACACAGCUUCAGAUGAUACACCACAACCAGUCUUGAACUUGAAAAGUACCCAGAAACUCUCAAACACACAAGAACACAAGAGUUUCUUCAAAGCUUCAACCUUGAGGCUUCAAAGAAUCUCACACGACCUCAGGCUCUCACUAACCUGGCUCUGAUACCAUAUCACUUUUAGUGAUGUUUAGAGUGAUCUGAGUAUUUAGGAAAGAUUAGAAGAGAUUUAGAGAAGAUUAAAGUAUGAAAUGAGAUUAAGAGUCUAAAGAACUAAAGAGAGACUAAGAGAGACUCAUAACUUGCUUAAUCUUAUUAAUGAUGAGGUUACAAUAUAUAUAGAGAGAUCAGAUACAAGGGUUUCCAUUUGAUCACUAUUCUAAGCAUGUGGAGUCAAGGGAAGAGGCUCCUCAUUUCAAACUCAGCCAAUAAGAGAGUGAUCGUGUGUGAGGCAUCUUGGACUGAGAUGCUUUGCCUUUCCAGCCUGUCACAGCCUGUCAAGGCUCUCCACCUUAUCCACAACCUUAUCCUAACCUCAGCGCACACUCCUCUCUUUCCUGGAAGUUUCCCUUUGCCCAUUUCACUCUCAAGUAACUCCUUUCACUCAGGUAACUUCCUUUUAACUCUUUUUACCACAGUAACAAAUAUUUACUGUGGUAACUUUCUCCACCCAAGUUACUUCAACUCUCCAUAACUACUCCUCAUCUCAACACUCCCCCUCAAGCUUAGCUUUGUGAAAGUCUAAGCUUGGACAGCCAUGAGAUCUUCCUCAUUAAAAACCUCACUAAGGAAAACCCAUUGGGACAAAACCUUAAUGAGGGAAAAAGAGUGAAGAUCUCACAGCUAAGGGGAUCAGCUCCUUCUCUUCCCAAGAUCUAUGAGUCCCAAUCUGAUGUGAAUGGACUCCAUAGUCUUUUGUCUCGCAGCCUUGGUGAAUACAUCAGCCAACUGAUCUUCACUUCUAGUAUAGCAGGGCAAGAUCACUCCUAGCACAAUCAUCUGUCUCACUUUGUGGCAAUCAACCUCAAUGUGCUUGGUUCUCUCAUGGAACACCGAGUUGGAUGCAAUGUGAAUAGCAGCUUGAUUGUCACAAUGCAUUGUCAUUGGAGAGGCUUGAUCAAUCUCUAAGUGCUUCAAGAUGCCUUUGAUCCACACCAACUCGUUUGUAAGCUUCAGCAUGGCUCUAUACUCAGCUUCAGCACUUGAACAUGACACCACCUUCUGCUUCUUGCUCUUCCAAGUCACCAAGUUACCUCCAAUGAAUGUGCAAUAGCCGGUAGUUGAUCUCCUAUCAGCUCUAUCUCCUGCCCAAUCAGCAUCACAAUACCCCACCACUUCUGUGCUUCCAUUACAUCCCAUCCAAACCCCUUGAUCCGGCGAGCCAUUCAGAUACAUCAGCAGCCUCUCUACCAUGCGCCAAUGAUGUUCCUUUGGAAGCUGCAUGUGUUGACUCACCUGGUUCACAGCAAAACAUAUAUCAGGUCUUGUAAUGGUAAGGUAAAUCAAUUUGCCAACAAGAGUUCUAUAGAGUUUAGGAUCAUGAAAUGGCUUGCUGUCUUCAAUCUCCCCCUCUCUUGGUACUUUGUAGCCAUCCUCCAUUGGCAUCCUUGCUGUCUUGCCUCCAUAAGCACCUGCACCUUUCAAAAGAUCAAGUGUAUACUUCCUUUGGGACAUGAACAAUCCUUCCUUAGAUCUACAAAUCUCAAUUCCAAGGAAGUAUUUCAUUUCUCCCAAGUCUUUGAUUUCAAACAUAGACUUUAGGAAUUCCUUGGUUGCUUUGAUACCUUCUUUAUCACUCCCAGUGAUAAUGAUAUCAUCCACAUACACAAGGAGAGCAACCAUACCUGAGGGUGUCGUGAGAGUAAAGAGAGUGUGAUCCAAUUCUGACUUCUUGAAGCCUCGGCCAUUCAGAGUUGUGCUCAACUUGUUAUACCAAGCUCUUGGUGAUUGCUUCAACCCAUAAAUGGCUUUCUUUAGCCUCAGUACAUUCCCUCUCUUCACUAGAUGUUCCAGACCUGGUGGAGGAUACAUAUAGACUUCAUCCUCAAGCUCUCCUUGUAGAAAAGCAUUCUUUACAUCCAUUUGCCACAAUCCCCAUCCUAGGUUCACAGCCAAGCUUAAAACAAUCCUAAUGGUGUGUAGCUUGGCUACUGGUGCAAAUGUCUCAAUAUAGUCCUCUCCAUAUGUCUGAGUGAACCCUCUUGCUACUAGUCUAGUCUUCUUCCUCUCAAUUGACCCAUCAGCCUUGUACUUGAUUGUAAAGAUCCAUCUACUAGACACAGCUUUCUUCCCUUUUGGUAGUUCACUCUCAUACCAUGUAUCAUUCUUUAUCAUAGCUCCUGCCUCAGCUCCUACUGAUUCCUUCCAUUCCUUAUCCUCCAUUGCCUCUUCAUAGCUUCUUGGUAUGUGAUUUUCAUCCAAGUUUACCAUGAAUGCGCAAUGUGCUUCUGGAUAUUGAGCAAAAGAACACACGGCCUGAGUAGGAUGCUUCACAGCUUGGGCAUUGUAGUACACUCUUGUGUUUACCCAACUGGAAGGAUCCUUUCUCAGCCUUGUACUUCUUCUCAAUACUGGCCCUUCUUGCGCCAUCUCUUGUUCUUCUUCUUGUGGCUGCACACUUGUUUCAGAUCUUUCUUCUCCUAGCUGACUUGCUUCAGCUCCUUCUUCCCUUAGCUGACUUUCUUCAGCUCCUUCUUCUUGAUCAUUUGAUUCCACAGCUUGAUCAUGAGAGCCAGAACUCUCUUCUCUACUUGUUUCUUCACGGUUUGGAGUUCUUGUUUCAUUCCCCCCCUCAUGCUCAAGGUUGGAAGUCUGAUGAUCCGGGACUGGGGUAGUGCUUCUCCCCCCUUGAUGUCCUUGAUUCAUGUUGAUUCCAAGACCUUCUAGGAUAAUCCUCAAGGUUUCAGCUCUAUCAGAGGUAAGAUCCUUCAAGUCUUCUUGAAUCUGUUCCUCAUAAUAUCCUUUCUCUUCAACAAACUUCACUUCUCUAGAUACUAACACUCUCCUUGUGUUAGGAUCAUAGCACUUGUAUCCUUUCUGACUUGAUGAAUAUCCAAUGAACAUUGCCUUUAAACUCUUAGCAUCUAGCUUGUUUCUUAUCUCUCCAGGCACCAUCACAAAACACAAACACCCAAAGACCUUCAUAUGCUCGAGAGAAGGCUUGUACUGAUUCAGUACCUCAAAUGGUGAUUGUCCUUGGAGGAUCAGAGUUGGUGUCCUGUUGAUGAGAUAACAUGCCGUAGCAACAGCAUCACUCCAAAACUUCUUAGGCACAUUGGAUUGAAACAUCAUGGACCUGGCUACUUCCAUCAAAUGCCUGUUCUUCCUCUCAGCCACACCAUUCUGUUGUGGUGUAUAGGGACAGCUUGUCUGAUGAAGAAUUCCAUGCUGAGCUAAGUGUAGCUUGAAUGCUUGUCCCGUGUACUCUCCUCCAUUAUCUGACCUGAAAAUCUUUAUCUUGGCAUUGUAAUGGUUAGUCACAUAGGAUUGAAAAUUUUUAAAUGCAUCAAGUACCCUAUCUUUGGUUGGAAUUAAGGUUAACCAGGUGUAUUUGGAUUUUUCAUCAAUGAAAGUUACAUAAUACUUAUGAUUUUCUCUAGAUAGGCAAGGUGCAGUCCAAACAUCAGAAUGAAUAAGAUCAAAACACUUUUCAUAAACAGUAGUAGACUUGUUAAAGACAGUUCUACAAUGCUUGCCUAAAAUGCAAGUUUCACAAUCAUUAUUCUCAAAGGAAACACCUGGCAACAUCAGUUUUAAAGCCUUAUUAUGAGGGUGUCCUAAUCUAGCAUGCCACAAUGCAUUUUUACUUAAACCAGAACUAGAAACAGAAGUAAAUGAGCAGCUAUAUCUAGAAACAGGAGUGAGAUCUUCAAGUAAAUAUAGCUCUCCUUUAGUCACUCCCUUUCCAAUCAUCUUGCUGCUUUUAAUAUCCUGAAACUUCACAUCAUUAGGACUGAAUAUAACAUUGCAUUGCAAAUCAGUAGCACAUUUCUUAACAGAUAACAAGUUUGAUGUGAAUUCAGGCAUAUAAAAAGCUUUAGUUUCCUUAUCAAAUAGUUUAAGACUUCCUAUUCCUCUAAUAGGAAUCUUAUCUCCAUUAGCAAUCAGUACAUUUCCAUUCAUUGGCACAAUGUUUUUAAUUAAGCUAGUGUCACUUAUCAUAUGAUGAGAUGCACCUGAAUCAAUCACUAAUGGCUUAAUGUCAUGAGAACUAGCAAUAUGCGCAAGGAUACUAGAUGGUUUGAAUGCAUGAUCAUUUCUAGCAAGGUUUGCAGUCCUAGAUUGAUUUACCAUUUCUAUCAAGCUCUCAUGCAUCCUAUCAGUUCUAGUUAGAUUCUCAUAGUUCUCUAUCACCCUAGCACCAAAAGAAUACCCAAAGAUGUUACCAUUCUCCUUGAACAUCUUAAUGAGAGCAUCAAGGUCGGAUCUCCUUAGAUACUCUUGAUCAUUGUUCCCACGGUUGCUUGAUGCUCCAGUGUAGGCUACAAGAGACUUUCCAUCACCUGCCUCACGCCCAUCUAUCUCCUUUCCUUUGCUUGUACCAGCUCCACUUGUUCCAUCCGAGACAUUAGCCCUUGCCUCACGGUCCUUCAUGAACUUAGCCGGCUUGAGGUGAGGAUGGAGUAUCCAGCAUUGGCUCUUCUUGUGGCCAUGCUUCUUGCAGUGAUCACAACUCCCAUUGAACCUCCUCUCCUCAAACUUCCCAUGCGCAGCCGCAGCCUUGUUUGCUUGUGGAGCUUCACUACCUUCCUCUUGAGUUGCUUGGCUUGCAAGGGACAGGUCUCCUUUCUUUGCAAACAACCCAAUGGAGCCUUGCUCCUUCUGAAUCCGCGCACACACAUCCUCAAGAUCAGGUAGAGUGUCUUCUCUAAGUAGGUGCUGGAUGAGACCGUUGUAGGCCGGGUUUAGCGUGAGGAGUAGCCCAAAGACCUUGUCUUGCUCUCUCCUCUUGUUAAGCUCAUCAGCAUCCGUUGUGCUUGGCCUAAGCAUCUCCAUCUCGGACCAGAGACUCCUGAAUCUCCCUAGAUGCUUGGUGAACUCCAUGUCUUCUUGUACAAGGUUGUUGAUGGCUUGCUUCACUUCAAACACUCGGCUUAGGUUUGAUGUGUUGCCAUACACCUUCUUCAAAGUAUCCCACAGCUCCUUAGCAGACUCACAGUAGCUGUAUGCAUCCAGAAUAGCCGGCUCAAGUGACGCAUGAAGCACAGACAUCACCAGCAUAUCCUCUUGAUGCCACUUCUCUUCCGCCUUGCUUGCAGCCUCACCAUCAUCCUCUCCUUGAGUGAUGAGUUUUGGAGCUUCUCCGGGGGUGAUGUGCUUCCACAACCCCUUGCUUCCCACCGUGGUUCUCACCAUCCGAGACCACACCAAGUAGUUGGUUCCCUUGAAGAUCACAGCUACCUUCAUGUUCAUGUUCAUCCCACUCUCCAUGUUGAAUGAUGAACUCUCUAAGCUUCAGAAACUUUAUCUUGAGUUGAAUAACUUGUAGAACCCUUCACAGCCUCGAUCUUCAACCCACACAGCUUCAGAUGAUACACCACAACCAGUCUUGAACUUGAAAAGUACCCAGAAACUCUCAAACACACAAGAACACAAGAGUUUCUUCAAAGCUUCAACCUUGAGGCUUCAAAGAAUCACACACGACCUCAGGCUCUCACUAACCUGGCUCUGAUACCAUAUCACUUUUAGUGAUGUUUAGAGUGAUCUGAGUAUUUAGGAAAGAUUAGAAGAGAUUUAGAGAAGAUUAAAGUAUGAAAUGAGAUUAAGAGUCUAAAGAACUAAAGAGAGACUAAGAGAGACUCAUAACUUGCUUAAUCUUAUUAAUGAUGAGGUUACAAUAUAUAUAGAGAGAUCAGAUACAAGGGUUUCCAUUUGAUCACUAUUCUAAGCAUGUGGAGUCAAGGGAAGAGGCUCCUCAUUUCAAACUCAGCCAAUAAGAGAGUGAUCGUGUGUGAGGCAUCUUGGACUGAGAUGCUUUGCCUUUCCAGCCUGUCACAGCCUGUCAAGGCUCUCCACCUUAUCCACAACCUUAUCCUAACCUCAGCGCACACUCCUCUCUUUCCUGGAAGUUUCCCUUUGCCCAUUUCACUCUCAAGUAACUCCUUUCACUCAGGUAACUUCUUUUUAACUCUUUUUACCACAGUAACAAAUAUUUACUGUGGUAACUUUCUCCACCCAAGUUACUUCAACUCUCCAUAACUACUCCUCAUCUCAACAUAAAUCACAUAGGAGUUGGCGUGAAGAAGUUAUCCCACUUUCAAAUCAGGUGAUUCCAGUUUCCCAGUUUGGGAAUAACACAGCUUCAUCGUCGUUCAAAUCAAACCAGGAUGAAUCACGUUGUGAGAAGCUUUAUUUGGAUACAUAAAGUGGUGGAGAAUCACCAGGAAGUUGAAUAAAUCACAUAGGAGUUGGCGUGAAGAAGUUAUCCCACUUUCAAAUCAGGUGAUUCCAGUUUCCCAGUUUGGGAAUAGCACAGCUUCAUCGUCGUUCAAAUCAAACCAGGAUGAAUCACUUUGUGAGAAGCUUN